ACGACAGCCUCCACGGUAGCCGAGCUAUGUGCGAGCUCAAGUGCCAGCAUCAUCAUGAUCCAGUGAACAAGAAGCGGUGCGUUGACUUCUGCAUACGGUGGCAGCUAGCGCUACCAUUUGAUGCUGCGGAGGUGGCUCAGGGAGCCACCGCGGGCGAGGACAGCCUCCACGGUAGCCGAGCUAUGUGCGAGCUCAAGUGCCAGCAUCAUCAUGAUCCAGUGAACAAGAAGCGGUGCGUCGACUUCUGCAUACGGUGGCAGCUAGCGCUACCGUUUGACGCGGUGGAGGAGGGAGCCACCGCGGGCAAAGACAGCCUCCACGGUAGCCGAGCUAUGUGCGAGCUCAAGUGCCAGCAUCAUCAUGAUCCAGUGAACAAGAAGCGGUGCGUCGACUUCUGCAUACGGUGGCAGCUAGCACUACUGUUUGACGUUAAGGAGGAGGAUGGAGCUAGCGCCACCGACACCAUCACCGCUGGUGAGGUCGGCGUCUGCGCCAACCGGCGUAUAUGCAAGAUCAAGUGCCAGCACCAUCACGACCAGGUGAACAGCAACCGGUGCACCGACUUCUGCAUAGGGUACCAAGUGGCACUAGAUGCCAUUAUGGAGAAUAAUGGAGCCACCGCCACCGUCACCGCUGGUGAGGACACGUUACGCGGUAGCAGGCGUAUGUGCGAGCUCAAGUGUCAGCACCACCAUAACCCGGUGAACAAGAAGAGGUGCAUCGACUUCUGCAUUCGGUACCAGCUGGCACUGCAUGAUAUCAAUGAUGGAGCCACCGCCGCCGCUGCCGGCGGAGCCAUCCGCCAGGUGGUGUGACGCCGGCGCGUGCAUGGACGGCAUGAAUAAGGGCCUAAGUACGUGUCGCUGGAUAUUUACAGACUGCUCGUGUGCGUUUGUCUUUUACGUUGAUGUGUGUGUGAUGUGUGAGAGGCCCUGACCGAAGCUUACAUAUUCGGUUUCACUAGUACUUGUUGUCUCUGGUUCUACUGCGUUUUCACGAGCCUUUGCAAGUGAGUUGUCAGUUGUGAUGAAUAAAAUGGCAGGCUUUUUCGUUCAGAGUUGAUUUGUAAAAGGCACUGGCCAGUUAGGUUUAUUUUGAACAAGAUCGUCAUCUUCUCUUUUAGCACGCUAGAUCAUAUCGAGAAUGAUUAAAUUCUCAACUCAUAAAUGGACAAUACUGUUGGUAUAGGUGGGUAAUCACCAGUGACAUAUCACUAUACUAUGCAUGUACUCUCACACAUAUAAACACCGAAACACACAUUCUACAUGCACACAAACUCAGUUCGCGAUGCCAAGGCGUGCCCGCAAUCGGGGUUCUUCAUUUCCAGUGGAUCAAGUUUAUGUUCACUGGAAUGCACGACAAUAUGAGCAUCCAAAAUGGAAAGAAGCCCAUCCCACCUAACCGUUCUUGCUAUUUAAUAGAAUAAUAUUGUAUUUCCUCUAUUUUAAAUGGUUGGUCAUUUUGAUUUUUCUAAAUUCAUAUAUAUUAUUAUGCAUCUAGAUGUAUACUAUAUUCAGGUGCAUAGAAAAAUUAUACACCUAGAAAAAAAUCAUAAUGAUAUACAAUUUUGGGACGGAGGAAGUAUACAAGAAAAAAUAGUACUAUAAUGCCCCGCACUAAGUGGCACAUGGUAAAAAAAGGUAAAGGAGUGCCGCACUAUGUGGCACAUGGUAAAAAGAUAAAGGAGUGUUUGAUGGUAUAUUAUCUAUCGCUAAAAGAACAAUUAGCUAAAAAUAAAAGCACCAGUGUAGCAGUGCUAAGUAAAGCUGGGACUUGGGCCUUGCUAUUUGUGGGCCGCUCGAAGCACGACAUUUUAGCACGGCCCAAAACACGGCACGGCAUGAUAAAUUUUAGACUGUGCCAGCACGGCACAAAAGCGAGGGCUGUGCCAUGCCUAGGAUAUUGGCAUGACGGGUGGCAUGGCAUGAUCCUAGGCAUGGCACGGCACGUAUCUUGGGUCGUGCUUGGGCCGGCAUGGCAAUAGAAUGGCCCACUAGUACAUCUGUAGGUUAUAUCAUCCUACCAUCAUUCGUCCUCUGUGUCAUAUACUGACAUAACUACUAUCAUGGAAGGAAACCACAAAAUCUACCUUAUAAAUAUGGAAUCGUGAUGAUGGUCAUUCAUAACAUUCCCCUACAAUUUUUAUAUAACAUGGUUUGUUUCCCUCUAUUAAUUUUAGACCUUAUUUUUCUACAUAUGAAAGCAAAAAUAUGUGCAGGUAAAUGAACACCAAUAAAAAACAAACACAUGUAUUGCAAGGAUCGUGCUUGGGCGGGCACGGCAUGAAGAUGUGCCAACAUGCCACAGGCCGUGCUUGGGAUUAGUAACAGGCUUGCUAAUUGCUUCCCCAUAACUAGUAGCUUGAAGAUGAGGAGGAAGAAGUAGGAUUUCUUGUCAGAGUCUUUCUCCAGCAUUGUCAUGCAAACCUUCAAAGGGGAACACUUCUUCAUCGAAGAUAACAUCUCAAGAAAUAUACACUCGUCCAAUGGAUAUAUCCAAGCAUUUGUAUACCUUGUGGAGAGAGCUAUAGCCAAGGAAAGCAUACCUCAUGGAACGGAAAGCAAGUUUUCUAGUAUUGAAUGGCCUAAGAUUCGGCCAACAAGCACACCCAAAAACUCGAAGAAAAGAGUAGUUGGGUUUUUCUUGGCAAUGGAGCUCAAUCAGAGAUUUGAAAUUUAUAACCUUACUACGCAAGCGAUUGAUAAGAUAGGUUGCAGUAAGAAAUGCCUCAUCCCAAAAUUUCAAAGGCAUGGAAGCUUUAGCAAGGAGGGCCAGCCCAACUUCUACUAUAUGAUGAUGUUUUCUCUCGGCUGACCCGUUUUGUUGAUGAACAUGGGGGCAAGAGACACGAUGGGCAAUGCCAAUGUUUUGAAAGAAUAGAUUUAACUUCUCAUAUUCUCCACCCCAAUCUGUUUUCAUGGCUAGGAUUUUUCUAUCAAUUUUUUUCUUUCAACAAGUUGUUGGAAAUCAUGGAACACAUUGAACAGGACAGAUUUAUUUCUAAGGAGAUAUAUCCAUGUAUGCCUACUAUAGCCAUCAAUGAAACUUACGUAAUAGGUGAACCUCCCAACAGAUGCAAGUGCUGGUCCCCAAACAUCAGAGUGUAUCAAUUCAAGCGGAGCAGAAGAAGUAUUUUCAGAUAUAGAAUAGGGGAGUUGAUGACUUUUGGCCCUUUGACAAGGGUCACACAUAGACGCAAUAUUAUUACUGCUAACAAAAGGUAAACUAUGAUCUCUAAGAACACGAGAGACUAUAGGCAAAGCUGGAUGCCCUAGGCAACCGUGCCAUCGCUCUGUGGAUGGCCUGUUUGCAGCAAACGUUUCUUUAUUAUGACUCCCUUCUUCUGAACACGGCACCAAAGGAUAAAGAUCCCCUCACAUCUUCCUUGAUGAAGAACUCUCCUCGUUGCCCGAUCCUUGGUAAGGAAAAAAUUGGGAUGAAGUUCAAAAAGAACAUUGUUAUCUGGGGCUAAAACAAUGGACAAAAGCAAGACUUUUAUGUGUAGUUGAAACAUGUAGAAUAUUUUUCAAGUGAAGAUUGUGAAUAGGGGUUUGCAAUAUAGCAUGACCAAUAUUAUUAAUCCUCAUGCCUUGGCCGCUUGCAGAGUUGACUUGAUCUCGACCUCCAUAUUUGUCUUGAAUGGUCAUCUUCUCAAGAUUUCCAGUGAUAUGAUCCGAAGCCCCAGUGUCAGCAUACCAAUUCAUGUCGAUGCCAUAGGCUGCUGCACCAGAGUUGGAUGGCUUGUUGUUGUUUGUCUGAUGGUCUUCAUCAUACCUAUACCAACACUCCAAUGUUGUGUGGUUAGGCCUGUCACAAAUCUGGCAUCUUGGUUUGGAGCUUCCCUAUCCUCCAGCCCCAACACUAGUGUGGUUGCCAUUGCCUCCACUAGUGCUUCUUCCGCCAUGAUAAUUGCUUCCACGGCCUCGGUUGUUGUAGCCACCUCCAUUGCAGAGGAUUGAUAUUGACCACCAGAGCUAUCACGAAGUAUCUCCAACCUUGUUUCAUAAGCCAUAACUAGGGCAUAUAGCUCGCUGAGUGAGAUCUGAUCAAGAUGGCCCAUGAUAGAUGUACCAAUAGGAUUGUAAUCACUAUCCAAACCUGUGAUUAUGAAUGAUACCAUCUCAUCAUCUUCAACCUUCCUUCCAGCACCCGCGAGGUUGUCGGCAAUAGCCUUCAUCUUAUUGAAGUAUACUAAAGUUAUCAUGUUUCUCUUCUUCAGGGUUGACAAUUGCAUUUGUAGAUGAGUUACUCUUGCAUGAGAUUGAACAGAGAACAUCCUUUGUGACAGACUUCUACAGACAAGGAUAGAGUCGCCACUUGUCCCAACACAUCCUUUGUGACAGAGUUGAACAAGAAGGCGAGGAUCUGCUGAUCUUUUGCCAGCCAUGUGGAGUACACAGGAUUGAUGACAGCCUCCUUGGACUUGUCUUCCUUGAUGAUCUCCAAUAUUGCAGGUGGAGCUUUGAUGGAUCCCUCUAGGAUUCCUAGCAGUUGAGCCCCCCUGAUGGGCGGAAGGACCUGAGCCUUCCAUAGGACAUAAUUGGCCCUGGUAAGCUUCUCGGUGACUUGAGGAUCGAGCGGAGCAAGCGUCGUGGCGGAGGAAGAGGACGCCAUCCACAACAAACUAUCUCUAGAUUAAGAGGGCUCUGAUUACCUGUAAAAGUAUAAGGUAAUUCGGUAAAACAUGGUUAGCAAACUCGCAUCCCACGGGUCUGUGUUAUAUAUGCACCAAGGCUGUUCAAAAUUUACAUGGAGUUGUGUUACAACUUGAUCAACAAGAAUAUGAUUCAAACUAGGCCUAUCUCUAGUCUAUCUCUAGAUGUACAGAUCCUAUCUUGACUUCUUGCUGUAUCAUACACGAAGAGCAGCUUCUAGAACAAAGCUAGCACGCACCAUAUUACAAUCCUAAUGUAGCACGGUUACAUAAAAAUAUCAAUUCAUCUAACACAUUGUGAGCCCACAAUUUGGCCCACGACCAUCCCAUCACUUCUUCGCUCUGCUCAGAACAGCCAUGCCGGCUGCAAAAGCGGCUCCAAGCCAGCAACAGCAGCAGCUGGUGAGUUGCAAAUCAUUUCAAGCAGCAGCAGCCGCCGCAGCCAAAGCUUGCAGGGUGGUGCAACAAUGGCCAAUGGCCGGUGGGCUUCUGCUGGCGCGGCCCAAGCUGGGUGUGGUGGGCAUUGGUGUCAGUAUCGAGAAUGCUUUUGAAUUCUAUAAUUGCAAUGGCUAGCCGCGUUGAACCACUAUUACAGGAACAGUUCGUAGGGCCAGAUAGAAAAUGUAUUUGCAGGGCCGGGUGUGUUACCCACUCCUACUUUUCGCAGCUACAAAUAUGGGGUAACGUGUCCGCCCCUUAAAGCCAUUUAUAGGGGCAGGCCACGCCAUGGUCAUGCCAUCACCCACCCCUAGAAAGUGUCGGUGAUGCUAUGGCUCGUCCCUGGAAAUGGUUAUUUGCAGGGGCAAGUGACGGCAUGAGCUGCCCUGCAAAUUGUUUUGCAGGGUCAGGUGACGGCAUGGUCCGUACAUGGAAAUAUCGUUCCUGUUAAAAAAUUAAGCAAUUUAUUUUUUGAAUUUGCGGAAACUGUUUGCUGCCAGUUUUUCACCGAUUUUAGUUCCCAAAAAUUUCACCCUAACAAGCUAGUGUGCAACCGAACAAGCUAUUGUCAUAGACAUAGAAUAUGUUACAUAAAUAUAAAUUAAGCAUACGAAAUAAUAGAAAAAUACAACAUAUACAUCGUUACAGUGCACAUUGGCAACAUGUUUUUCGGCCACUCACGAGUUUAGUCAUGGCGGUACUCUUGAUUCUCCCACUCAUAGAAGCUAACAUAUUUAUCUUCCUAUGCUAAUGAGUAUUCAGGUGAUAAAAGCUGCCCCUCGGGUUGGCAAUGCAAAAUGAAACGACAUAAAUCGGAUUACGUAUAGAAGUUCUUACUCAUUGAAUCAUUGUACCGUGUAGUUCCAGCCUAAUAUGCAAUUAAUGAAUUCAUGAAAAAAUUAAGCAAGUGUUAGAUAGACACAAAAGCAAUGUUCACAUAUACAUCCCUAUGAAAGUGUAGCACGGGAUCAGUGGCGCCGGGCAGGGUGUGGCGGUGCGGGCGGAGAUGGGGUGGCAGCUGGUGCAGGUCACCGAGGCAAGUGCGGUAGUAACGCCAUGGCCAAUGGCCAUGUGGGGGAGAGAAGAGUUACGAGAGAGGAAGAAGAGGAGAGGAUGAGGACAGGAGCAUUGAUUGUGGGCCCCAAAAUGUAAUAUUCCAAAAAAAUUAUAAUAUUUAUUGGAGUGAAAUUUGUAAAAAUUUUAAACUUUUGUUUGUAUUGUGUGCUCGUUUUAGUCCAAUAUCUCCUCAUCCUUAAACCUCAUUUCAAAGCUUAAACCUCAUUUCAAAGCUUGCCUGGAUUGAUUUGGAUUUUUUUGGAUUUUAUUUGGAUUUCCUGUUUUUAGUGUGUUCUAAUUCAACAUUCAAACUAAAUUUAAAUCUAAAACAAACCUAUCAAACUUACCCAACUAGGCCGGCCGCAACCCACUAGCCUAGCCCACUAGCUCCCAUGCCUGGUCCGCCUCGCCUUCACACCUCGGCCUGGCCCGCACGCGCUCGCAGCCGCUGCCGCCCCGCACCAGCCCAGCAGGCCGCCUGGUUGACCGGCUGGCCCAGCCCAUGGGCUCGCACCCGCGCCGGCUUCCUCUCCUUCUCUCGCUGCUGCACCGGCCCCGCCUGUCAGUCGCACCUUUCCUUCGCUCCGGUUACUCUUUCUCCUUCCUCCCGCCCAUAUGCUCACGCUCCCAGCGCGUGCACUCGCAGAGGGGACGGGCACGCCGCGCUAGUGCACACCACCACAGCCGCACGUGCCCGUGACCCCUUCUAGCGCCUUUCGCUAGGGGAAUUUCCCCCUUUACCCUCGCCCGUGGCCCCGAACCCUAGGGUCCGAGCCGCCAGAUGGCCGCCACGCCGUCCGCAAGCACGGACGCCAAGAAUGGACAGCGAGCUGAGUUUUUGCCCUUGAACCGCCUUGCCGCACCUUUAUAAGGGGACCUAAGCUCCCAGCGCCCUUGCGCCACCAUCGCUCGAGAGGGGGAGAGGGGGAAGAAGUAGAGGAGAAGGGAUGAAGAGGAGAAGAAGAAGGAAGGGAAGAUGGAGGAGAAGAAGAAGAGGAGCAUAUGAGGGAGGAGCCAGAGCCGUCCAAGGGAGUCGCCGCCGUUUGUGGGUGCGCCACCGCCGUGAGCCUCACCAUCCCUCUCUUCCUUCUUGCCUUUUUGCCGUGUGCUGAGCCGUUGAAGGAGCCGCGGCUCGCCUCGCCGCUGGCCACCACGGGCAUGAAACACCGGGGCCCCACGCGCCGCCGUGGACAUGCUGUAGUCAGGGGCAGCCCCUGACUGCGCACCCGUGCAUGCCAUGCCGUGACGGCGGCGAGGCGCACGCCCCGAGGCUGCCAUGUGGGCAUCUACGUGGCUCUACCACACAGAUAAAGUGCACCACGUGGCUGCCACGUGUUGCUAAUGUGUCCAAAGGCCUGAGCCGACUAAUAGUCUAAUGGGCCCACUGACGGGGCCUACCGUUGACCAAUGGGACCUAGUUGACCAUUAGCCGAUCAAUGUUAAUCAUUGAGGGGGUCAAUGCUGACGUCAGCAUGACAAUGUUAAUCAUUGAGGGGGUCAAUGCUGAUGUCAGCAUGACAUCAACACACACGUGGUGCAUCCUUGCGUUGCCACAUGGCCCAAUUAGACGCUGACAUGUGUCACCUAAUAAUAAAUGUUUUCUAAAAUUAUUUAAAAUAACUAAAUAAAUCCUUUAAUCUUUAAAAAUUCAUAGCUAACUCAUUUUAACUUCGAAAAAUAUCAAACCAGUUGCAUUAAAUUUUAAAAAUCGAGCCUGUGCUAUUUGGAGCUAGUUUGAUGUUAUUUGGAUCUUCUGAAGUUUAUUUUCUUGAAGUUUUUGCUUAGAUGUAAUGCUGUUUAAAGUACUUUGCCUCGUAUCUCGUUCUAUUCAGACUCGAGCUAUGAGCCCGGAAGACCUUCAAGACCUUGACUACGCUGAGGAAGAUCCCAACGACUACGGACAAGGUGUCAUGUCACUCCCAAUCAUAUAGAUCCUAUGCAUGCUUAGUUGCUAGCGCUUUUUUUAUUAUGCUUGUUGAUGAUGGAUUGCAUAGCCAAUAUUUUUAGCCAUGCCUUGAUAAUUGUUUAUCCUGCUUUCCUUGUUCACCUAUUUUUGUGGACUUGCUACGGACCACUAGCUAGUCCACCGCUCAUAUAUCCAUAUACAUACUUUUGAGUUAUGGAUGGGCAUAUGCCAUGGUUUUGGUGAUGGGAUUACUUGAACACUCUCACGUGUGUUUUGGGUGAGUGUGACUCCUUGAUGUGUUUUGGUGGGAGCGAGCCAUGGUUGGUGCUGAGGAGUGUCUUGCCAAGAGAGAGCAUUCUGGACUCUCUAUACCCCGUACCUAUGGCGGGUACCCUGUUUGUUACUAAGGAGCAGGUAACGUACUUGUAUGUUGCAGGUACUUCGGCACAUACUUGUGGAGUAGAGUGCUCGCUCUCAAACAUUUAAGGACCGAGUCAGUUUACCACCAGUCACAGCAUCUAUUUUCAUACUUACCGCUCCUUACGUUAUGGGUGGGGUUCGUUCCGAGACUAGUGGUGGAUAGUGCUCUGCCUGUAGGCAAAUUGGAGGAUCGUGUAAGGAGUUCGAGGCGUUGGCCUGCUCUGAGCAGACUGCACCUCGCGCGUGGGUAGGUUUCACAGCUUCAAGGUCCUCUCUGGUGACGGCAUGCCCUGUAGCUGAGGAUGGUUCCAGACUCGAGGAAAUAGGAGAGAUCUAUCCACCUACUAGGGCUCCGGCUGUUAGGUGGGGUUUGGACGGAUCGCUACCGUUCAGGCUCCAUCCGUGCAGGUACAGCUGUACAAUCUCUGCAGAGUGUAUAAAGCUAUAGCUAUAGUCCGUGUCCACUGGUUGUGGAUAGUGCUAUUGACUGCCGCUACUUUUGACUAGACUUUCUUAUUCUUCUACCUUCCCGUUUUGAGAUAGGCUAGUGUUUGCUGUUGAAAUAUGAGGGGAGGAAGCUCUCACAUCGCCUAGUGUGUUUGGGUGCUGGACCCUUAAGUGAAGGAUCCGGAGUUUUGUGCCGACUUCCUUGUUUGAGGUGUUGACCUUGACGAUGGUAUUGCUUUGCUGCUUCCUUGAUUGCUGCUGCUGCUGCAUAAACCUCCAUAGCCAUACAUAGAUUUAACUCAUGCAUAUAGUAUAUUUCUCACGUUUCCUUGGCUUGCUGCUUUUGGGAGUUGACAUGGCCUACCCGCUUCUCGGGUAAAUGGUGGUUCUUCAGGGUCGGAGCCUGACUACGACUUCGACAUCGAUGGAUGGGAAGACUAGGGAUGGUUCUUCGCUUGAGUCGCCUUUGGAGAUGGAGUUCGCUAUAGCUUAUGUUUCCGUUGCGUAGAUGUUUUACCUUUCUUGAUUCAGUGCUGAUGGACUUGUACCGGCACGUGCCGAAGAGAUGUACUCGCUACUCAUGUUAUUUCUAACAUUUGUACUUUGUUGUUGUUCUAUAUUUCUAUGCUGGUAUGGAUUUGUACGUGAUUACCUUCCUGGGAUUAUCACCGAUGUGUGUAGGCUUGAAUUCUCAGAAAUAGGAAUUCAGGUUCGUUUCACACAUGAAAGUAUGCUAUUGCAAGAUUGUUGAACAGAUCAGUUUUAUGACUUACUAUAUCCUACGUAGUAGCACCUUACCAUUGCGGGUGCCUUGAGAUGGUGGCGGGCAUCCUCCCUUGAAAGUAAUAAAAUGGUCAAAAUCAGCCAACCUUCAAUUGUUGUGAUUUCUCCCUGAGAUAGGAGAAUUGGGGACUGGGAGUAGAUCAACACGGGAGGAACCGUGGGAAGGAAGGAAGGAAGGAAGGUUCAGGAUUCAGUAGAGAACUCACCUUCCAUACGCCCCAUUUUGUCCCGGUUUAAAGUUGGCCCGGGACAAAAGGUUCACCAACCGGGACUAAAGCUCGGUCACUGGCGGCUCACCAACCAGGACCUUUUAUACCGAAUGUAAAGGCUAGUGGAAAAAAAAGACCCCAAGAGGCCUUUUAUCCCGGUUUCAAAUUGGGAUAAAAGGGUCCCCAAUAGGGUGGCUGAAGGAGGACUAAAUCCCUCAACACCAUCAUCGCUAUAGCUAUAUAUGGCUUUGGCGAUUGAGCGGCGAUGGGCGGCGAAGCAGAGCUUCAGGGACAGGGUCUUUGGUCAUUGGGCACUGGAGACAAGGUGGCGCAGGCGCGGUUUUGCCGGGAUUAAGAGUUGGCGAAGGCGAGCAGGGUCUGAUCGCGUCAAGAGGCGGAUUGUGGGCAGCGACUUGACUAGCGUACGACAGGAAGGAAGGCACUGCAAGCGAGGUCGCAGCAGGCGAGGUGACCGGGCGAGCGGCGGCGUGAGCGAGCGCAGACAGCAGCUUGCCGGGGCACAUCUUUGGCGAGGCGGAAAAAGGAGCUGUCUCUGUUGGAGCUGUGGUUGGCGAGGGCGGCAUCGUCGUGGAGCGCGCUUGAGGUGGCGCGACUAUGGAGAGGUGGAAAAGCCGGAAGACAUCGGGACACGCGGCCGGGGAUCCAGGCGAUGUGAUGGGUGUGGGAUGCGAGGCGGUCUGGCACGGCAGCGGCAAAAAUCUGCCAUGGUGGCGACAGGGUGCCUUGGCGCGGCCGGCGAGGGUGCGAGCGAGACGAGGCGAGGCAGAAAGGGCUGCAGGGGCUUCCGCGCGCGAUUGGGAGGGAGGCAUGCUGAUCUAUCUUGUCGCGGCCGGCGACUGGGCGAGGCGGCGCGCGUUGGAGAGAUUGAGCCACGCGGCGGGUAAGCUCUGAAGCGGGGCGCAUGCUGCUCUGGCGUAUUUGACUCAAGAGAACCGGGGGAUCUGGUUGUGGGUCUACCUUCCAGACUCUGGCUCUCCCACAGCUCUAAGAUUUUGAAGGAACACUGUCUUUGGGACUUUGAGAAGAGCUGCUGGUUGCCAGUUGGUGCAGUUUUAGGGGUCGGGCCGGUGGGAAACUGCAGAUCGGGAUUAGUCUUGAGAUUAACUUGGCCAGUUAAACCAAGGUCAUUACAUUAGGUUCUUGAAAUCAAUGCAGACACACAUCUUUCCAUUUUUCUUAUACACAGGAACAAUAUUAGAAAUCCACUCAGCAUAACAAAACUACCGAAUGAAGCUUGCCUCGAUGAGCCGUGUGAUUUCGGCCUUUAUAUCAGGUUACAUCGUCGAGCGGGUUGCUGAUAUGGUCGAUAUUCUGGUUUUAUUGGCAACCGAUGUUCAACAAUAGAUCGGUCUAAACCAGGCAUCUCGUGGUACUCCCAAGCAAAACAAUCUUUAAACUCUCUCAAUAAUUUGAUGAGCUCCAGCUUGUAUUUAGGAUCUAACUUGGCACUAAUGUACGUCAGCCUUGGCUUAUCACCAUCUCCUAAAUAUAUUUUUUCUAAUGCAUCGGCCGACGUAAACCCGUGCCCAUGUUUUUCGUCUUCUUGAUCGGGGACAUUCAUUGAGAUGGUUCUUCAUUAGAGCCGACUGCUUGGAUCGGCUGUGUUUCAAGAUCGAACACGCGGAGGAAGUCGGUGUCCCAGAUCUUGCUAGAUAUGCAGCUGAGCUGGUCAUAGCUCCGCUGUGAGGCGUCGACGGUGACGAUGAUGAAGGACGAGUCGGCGUUGAUGAUUUCGAUCUUGUCGCCGACCCAUUGGAUGAGGCAUUGAUGCAUUGUGGAUGGAAUGCAUCAGUUUGCGUGGAUCCAGUCUCGCCCCAACAGCAUAUUAUAGGACCCUUUACCAUUAAUGACCAAGAAGGUAGUUGGAAGGGUCUUACUGCCAAUGAUGAGGUCGACGCAUAAUGCCCCCCGGGCCGGGGAGACAUUGCCUUCGAAGUCUUUAAGCAGCAUGUCUGUCUUGAUUAGAUCGUCCUUACCUUUGCCGAGUUUGCGGAACAUGGUGUAGGGCAUGAUGUUUACCGCCACACUUGUGUCGACCAGUAACUUGGUGAUCGGUCGGCCAUCGACCUGCCCCUUCAGGAAUAGGGCCUUCAGGUGUUGACGUUUGUCUUCCUCCGGCUUCUCGAAUGUGGCGGUCAUCGGGUCGAGGGCCAAUUGCGCCAGCUACUCUUCUGCCACGUCGUGUUCUCUAGGUGCCAUGAACUCCAUUGGCAGGAUGAAGACCAUGUUAACCUCGACUGCGGCUGAUCCUUGAUCAUCCUGAUCAUCGGCCUUAUUUGUUUCUUUUGGACGCCAGAUUUGGGAUCUGACCCCUUUUUGUCCAAUGUGCAUCUUUGCUCUUCCUCCUAUUGUUCCCAUUGGCGUAAACGUUGGACUCUCCUCUUCUGGGACCUGGUUAGUCCUGCCGGACACCACCUGGGGUUUUUGGGCUCCCCUUGGGGUCUCGGUUGCUCCCAUCCGGGUUCUCGGCCUAAAGGGUUCUCGUCGGACACCCUUGCAUUGACCGAUUCUUCCAGUUGCUGGGUCAUACAGGACCUGCCCCCUAGUUGAUCGCAUACGUGCAUUCUGCCCCCCAGCCGAUCAUGUACUGGGACGCACCUGUACUCUUGUUCAAGCUUGUCCCCGCUAAUCAGCUUUCGUCCUUUGUCGUUGGAGCGUGAUUGCUUGUGCGGCCCAUUCCACCAUUGGUGACCGCUGCAUUCCGGGCAGUUAUCUGCCGUUGGCAGCCUAAGGCCGCGCUCCAGACAGUGGAUGAAGAAGGGACAUCUCCAAUGGUCCUCAUGUCGGCGUGUCUGCUCCUCGUGAUGCCGAGUCUUCUCUUGCUGCCUUUGCAACUUGUUGAGGAGUUCCUGGGACGUGAUCGGGCGUUGAUUCCCGGAUGAACUUUCUCCUUGUGUCUACCCUUUUCGGAGUUCAUCGGCGGUUACCAGUGCUCUAGGGUCCACGGCCCCACGCCUUCUAGCUGAUUCCGAAGUCAAUACUUUGGCUCGGGUCUCGGGCUUGCCGCCGAUAUCAACCAUAUUCACGUUGGCCGGAAAAGGGUGUUGGUCAAUCUUCAUGGACUUGGUCAGUCUUGUGGGAACGUCGAAUUUCAACAUUCCUUGCUCGAAGGCCGACUGCAGCUGCUGACGAAAGACCUUACACUCGUUGGUGUCGUGGGAGGUAGCAUUGUGCCACUAACAGUACUUCAUAUUCUUUAGCUGAUUGGCCGACAGGAUCGUGUGGUAUGGCGAGAGCUUAAUCUGCCCUCCUUGUAAUAGCAGAUCAAAGAUCUUGUCGGCCUUGGAUGUGUCAUGACUGAACAACUCUGGUUCCUUCUUGCCAAAUGGGACAGAUACGGGCUUCGAUCCCUUGACCCACUCGGCCAGACCGAUAUCGGCUUCUUCGUCGGUGUCAGACUCGGAACAACCUGCAUAUGCCACCUUUUUUUGGAAGUUUCUCCUCUACUGGUCAAAUGGACGUGGCUCCUGGCUCGACAGACGGUGCACCAGCUGACUGAGGCUUUCAAAUUCUUAUGAGGCGUACCUUUCUUUGAGAAGACCUUGGAACACGGCGUCGGCCAGCUGGGCAUCCAUCAAGAUCAAACUAUAGCACUUGUUCCUAACUUCCCUGAAUCACUGGACAUAGCUCGCCACUGACUCAUCGUUUCUUUGUUUGAGGCUGGUGAGGUCGGUCAACUUCAUCUCAUGUACUCAAGCAAAGAAGUACUUGUGGAAUUGCUUCUCCAAGUCGGCCCAUGUAAUUAUGGAGUUUGGUGGUAGCGUCAUGAACCACUGGAAGGCCAACCCAGAUAAUGAUGAAGAGAAUAGACGUACUCUUAGAGCAUCUUGAGUCCCUGCCUCUCCGUAGUGGAUGAUAAACCUGUUGAUGUGCUCAACUGUGGAGGUGUCAUCUUGGUCCGAGAACUUGGUGAGGUCAGGUACCUUGUAACGGUCCAGGAAGGGCAGCAGGUCGUACGUGCACGGGUAAGGCGUUUUGUAUGUGUAGGUCUGUACCCGUGGCUUGAGCCCGAACUAAUCCUGAAUCACCUCAGUUAUCUUGGCUUCCCAAUCGAUCUGCUAUUGAUGCACGAGUGACGGUAUGUUUAGGUGCAAGGGCUGCGCCUGAUACUAGACCGUCGGAGAGGGCCCGUGUUGUGCUGCCUGUGGCGGCUGCUUGUGCGCGAACGGUGUUGGCGGCUUCUUGUAAGGACUCCUGUAGUGAGGUAUGACAACCGUUCCGUCGUACACGUUAGCUGAAGUUUCGGGCUUGUCUGUGUUGACUCCAUUGCUUGCUGCUAGUAAGGACUCUCGUAGCGUUGUUCCCACCAGGUGUGCCAAAAGUGUGUUGGCGCAAAAACUGGACAAUACGUCCGAUCCUCGCGUCGGACCCAUGACCUGGGAGAAUUUGCUUCGCUCCUAUUCGGGUUGUCGCUCUGGUGCGGUUCGCGCAGUGUGCCAGUCAAUUUGACCUGCUGAUUGACAAGGAAAAAAAUGUUAGACACGACGAGCUGAUCGGCUGGUGAUCCGAUCUGCCUCCAAUCGCCGAUCGGUAGAGUGAUCCGCCGAUGGGGAAGAAUAAGCUAUCGGCAGAAAUCCGUCGAUAACCACUUAGUGGCAGAUGUCCCGUGAGGUAGAUUCCACAAAUGCUGCUAGGAACAAUGCUUAGACAGAUGUAACCAACCGUGUAACAACAAGAUCAAAACGAUAGGUAAGUGGCCUAUGAAAUAUGCCUAAGCUGGAUAACUGGUGAUAAUAACUAAAACAACAAGAAACCUUGUAAUUCUAGCUAAAUAUCGAUAACUGUGAACAGAUCUAGAUGAGACAACAGCGAUACGCUCAAAGUCAAAGCCCAGAUGAUUCAAACUUGGAACUUACAAAAAGGGCGAAGAUCAAGUUGAUGCAGCCCUGCCGAUCCGCACGAACUCGUGAAGAAAAGGUGAAAACUUGACGAAGUCAUCGAAAAUAAAGUGUGAGGAAAUAGUAGAUUGCAUUGAUUAUUGGCUUGUUUCUGGCGCCAUUGGCGGCGGAGCCGAUGCAGAAAGAUUUUGCUAGCCCAUCGGCAGGAGGGCUGAUGAGGGUGUGGCUUGUACUGGAGAUCUUGGAGCCACGUGGAAGGAUCCGGGUGCCAUCCCAUAUCCUGUCGUCGGAUCCCAUCGUGCCGAUGUUUCUGUGGCUCCCCAUGGUACUGCCAUGCUACAUCGCACUUGAGCGGGGUAGGAAGACGUGGGAUAGGACGACACAUAGGUAGGCGAUGAUGCUGUGCCAACGGGGUUGUGAGAUGGAAGAGCGUCGUAUCCUUGUGUCAUCAACGGCCAGGAGGCUGAUUGUGCCAACAUCGGCUGGGUAGCCGAUUGUGGUAUGCUGGGAGAUGUCGGACGUCCGCUGAUGGGCAUGCUUGAUGGAGAUGCGUAGGUCGGACCCCGGUAUCCCUACGCAGCACCUUUCGACAAGGAGCUUAUGACGGCGUUGUGCACCGUGUUAUGCAUCACCCCAGCCUGAUCGAUCAUAGCCCGAUAGAUCGCCUGAUGGACCAUCUCUGACAUUUUUCCCAAGUCCUUCGCAAUGGUGAUAUGGCGUGGUGUCAGGAGAGCAGCCUUCUUGAUGGUCUCGCCGCUUCUAUUGCGGCUGUAGGACUGGAGGCACAACUUUUUGUAUUCCUGAAGGGCUCUUUCCAUCUCCUCCUUCUGGUCAUCCUUGAGAUCUGCUUCAGUGACCUCGAUGACAUUCUCGGCCGAUAGAUCGGCCAUCGCUUCUAAUGACAUCUUGGAUCUGGAUCUAAGUUCAAGGUCCCACCGGGCGUGCCAAAAGUGUGUUGGUGCAAAAACCGGACAAUACGUCCGAUCCUCGCGUCGGACACACGACUCGGGAGAAUCUGCUUCACUCCUGUUCGGGUUGUCGCUCCAGUGCGUUUCGCGCGGCGUGCUAGUCAAUCUAACCUGCUGAUUGACAAGGAAAAAAAUGUUAGAUACAACGAGCCGAUCAGCUGGUGAUCUGAUCUGCCUCCGAUCGCCGAUCGGCAGAGUGAUCCGCCGAUGGGGAAGAAUAAGCUAUUGGCAGAAACCCACCUAUAACCACUUAGCGGCAGAUGUACCGUGAGGUAGAUUCCGCCGAUGCUACUAGGAACAACGCUUAGACAGAUCUAACCAGCCGUGUAACAACAAGAUCUAAACAAUAGGUAAGUGGCAGAUAAAAUAUGGCUAAGCUGGAUAACUGGUGAUAAUAACUAAAACAACAAGAAACCUUGUAAUUCUAGCUAAAUAUCGUUAACUGCGAACAGAUCUAGACGAGACGACAGCGAUACGCCCGAAGUCAAAGCCCAAAUGAUGUUCAAACUCGGAACUUACGAAAAGGCCGGAGAUCAAGUCGAUGCAGCCCUGCCGAUCCGCACGAACUCGUGAAGGAAAGGUGAAAACUUGACGAAGUCGUCAAAAAUAAAGUGCGAGGAAAUAGUAGAUUGUAUUGGUUAUUGGCUUGUUCUUUCUACAUGCCCUCUAGGCAACUAUUUAUAGCUUGUUACAACUAAACUCCUGAUCAGAUACGACUAACAACUCUAUCUCUAAUUUAAAGCAAUAAAAAUCUAUAAGUAUUACAAUUCCCAUCGGAGUAGGACUCUCAUGGAUUUCCUUACGCUGCACUUUCCUUUGGCCUGUUCGGCCCAUGCGGGCCCAUAUCGGCAAAUCACCUCCUUUUUUCGCGGCCGAACCUCUUUGUGCCAUUGGCCGUCCGUUCUUAACUUCGUCGACCGAUGCCCCUUUCUCCCGAACCGUCGGCCAUACCCUUUGAUGUUGAUCUUGACGAGUGUCAAAAAUCAGCGUCAACAAGUAUAAAACCAAUUAGAAAAAAAAUAACAUUACUAUACUCGGAAGUGCUCCGUUGCUUGGAUCACCUUUUGGCAUGACGAUUGUUGGGGACCGCCCCACAGCGCACCCUGAACGAGGCUGGCGGGAACCUUUUCUCUCAACCGGCUCUAACCUCGUUACUUACCCUUUUUACAAAGCUAACAAUUAACCGAAGUUAACUAGUGCGAAGGUGCCCGUUCUGUGAUUUUGCAGGCGAGGACUCCUGAAGUUGAAGCCCCCAUAGAACUCCCGACAAUUUGACUUCGGGAAGGGUCCAUGGCCAAAAGCCGAAGUUAGCUGACUUCGACCGAAGAAGGCGGAAAGCUUACGGAAGCUUGCCUAGCCCCGAUGAAGCUUACGAAUGGAGAAGGAAGUGAUCAAGACAGCCCUGGGACCACAUUACAGUAGGAUAGUUUUGUAAUAAGAAUCUUGGAGAGGGUUAGAAAUGUAAUCCCACUGUGAAAGCGACAUUUUGAGUAGGGGCCAAGUUACUGUCCGGUACGGAAUAUAUCUAGGAUGUAGUUGUUGGGUAUAGGUAUAACAGGAAUGCGGAAAUGUAACUUUAUGGCCCUAUAAAGGAAGAUGAACCGUCCCUAGGGGGGACGGUCAUUACACAUUGGUAGGGUAGCUACUGUAAUACGUACUUGAGCAGUUAUUGUCUUCGUUUGUCGUAACGUCUCAACUGUUGUUUGGUUCAACCCCAACACUACUGUAAUACGUACUUGAGCAGUUAUUGUCUUCUUUUGUCGUAACGUCUCAACUGUUGUUUGGUUCAACCCCAACAACGAUACCGGGAGUAGGGAAGUGAACUCCUACAGGAUAUGACACCUCGAGGAUAGGUACAUUUCUAGAUGAAAUUCCUACAGGACGUGCAAGUUCAACAAAUGUACGAAUUUGAAAAACCAUAUUGAAUUUGACAAGAUAAACCAUCUAGACUAGCUAGGGUAGCAUCAUUCUUAAACCGCUGCAAGGAUACAUACUAUAUAUGACACGUAUGACAUACUAAUUUUUCCUCAUAAUUAAUAUUGAAAUCCUCUCCAUUCUACCUCUCACAUUUACUCUCCAGAAUCUCAUUCACAUUGUACCUCAAAAUCCUCUCUAUAAUUUCUACACAUCAAGCAAACUAUCCAUCACCAUUCUACACAUCAAGAAAACUAUAUAUCCAUCACCAUUCUACACAAAAACCAAACUAUCUAUCACUAUUCUACAUAUCAAGCAAACUAUCCAUCUCCAUACACAUCAAGCAAACAAAUCCUCUUCAAUCUCUCUCUCUUUCUAACAUGAAAACUCAAUUUUCUCCCUCUCUCUAUAUAUAAAACAUAAAACAAAGCAUAACAACAAUAAAUAAGUGGAGGAUGAAGCAGCUAACCUUCACAAUAUUUUGGAUGACCGAAAUCCCCAUGGAAAUGAGCAAAUUUUUUUUGGCAGAACCUCCCCUAGGUUUUCUUCGGCACCAAGAGAGGUGAAGGGUCUUUAUGGAGUGGCUCGGGAUGCGUUUUUAUCCUGGUUUAAGAUUUCUCCCGGUUAUAGCCACCAACUGGGACAAAAGAUAUAUUUUUUUUGUCCCGGUUGGAGUUGCCAACCAGGAGUAAACUUUUUGUUCUGGUUGGUAACUAAAAUCGGGACAAAAGGUUGGAUCUUUUAUUCCGGUUUGAAGCUAGAGCCGAGACAAAAGGGUUGCGCCGUCGGCGCACGAAAACUAGACGUUACAACCGGGAUAAAUGGGUGGCCUUUAGUCCUGUUUCAAACACGAACUAGGACUAAAUAUGCGCCCCAUUCCAGCCUAGCGUGGCGCACCCCCUUUUCUCUUGGGCCUACAUUAAACCGGGAGUAAAGGGGGGCGGAUAGAAAGUCAGUUCUCUACUAGUGGUGGCACAUUUUUAACCUGGAACUAAAGCCACUUAGUCACAUGUCCAAUGUUAACCGGGACUAAAAGGGUUGGAUGGAAGUUUAAUUCUCUACUUAGUGUUUGCUCAUAAACUGGUUGUUUUCAUGCAGGUAAGUUGGUUAUCCUUCGCUUGUUUGCCUAGCCGUCCUUCACGUCGUAAUCGUGACCCUAUCAUCCCUCGGGCUAUGCAUCAACAAUUAUAAUGCUUCAAAAUCUUGACCUGUGGAACCACGUGAAGGCUCGGAUGGAAUUAAGCGCUUUCGAACACGAAUGUCGUAUUCAGUAGUUCUUUUUUCUGAAGCAAGUUUGUCACGUCAUAUAGAUACUGUCCCAUGAUUUUCUUAAGCGCUUUCGAACACGAAUGUCGAAAUAUUUGUCGCCAUUGACUUUUUCUUACAACUUUGACUAUUUGUCUUAUUCAAAAAACGCAUAGGCCGGUAUAUAUUAUUACACGAGGGCCUGGCCGGGAUGAUGCAUGGAUCGGAUGGUUUGUUUAGGCGGGGAUCGGAGCGCUAGCAGCAGCUGCAACAGUCUCAGAGGUGCAUCUGGUUUGGCACCAGCACAUGAAAAAGUUACAGCCGCCGGAAAUAUUGUCGCUGCUUUCGGCUAAGCAUACACUCUUGCAGGCUUUGUCGUGGAUCAAUCCAAUGCACACUCCUUUGUAAUUGGCACUCUGGUGAUCGUUGCAAACAAAAAGAUUGUCCCCAACCGACGCUGACUCUGGUCCAUGGAUCCGACCUGUGCAGGCAUGAAUGUUCAUUUAUGCAACAGAACAACUUAAAGAAUUGAAAGAUUGAUCAAACGACAUCGAUCGCGGCUUAAUUUGCAACAUGUACGUAGUUGAUGCAUGUGCACGCGUGUACGUACCCCAAACGGCGGCUAUCGCGACGAGCAGGAGGACGGCAGAGAGAUUCUUUCCAGCUGAAUGCGCCAUUACAGUGCUUGUUUUCUGGUGAAAGUUGAUACGUUGAUCGAACAAGAUUGAACGAGCAGAUUUGUUGACGAUCGAGUUUGGAGUGUCUUCUCUUAUAACAGAAGAAAACAUCACUACCCGACGGGCGGAUCCAUCGGACUUGCCAACGGGCUUCUAUUUCUAUUAGGGAAUAAGAAUCUUUGCUGGUCAAGUUAGGGAUUGGUCUAAUUCAAGUUUUGUGCUUAUGGUGUGAUAAUCUUGGAGUAAGGUACUUAUCUGCCAAUACUAUGUUCCAUGCUCGUGCCAAGCAUAUUGAGAUUCACUUUGAUUUUGUAAGAGAAAGGGUAACUACUAAACAACUGCAGGUCAGGUUUAUUCCCUCCAAUGAUCAGCUCGCCGAUGGCUUCACUAAGGCCUUGCCCAUCCACAAGUUCGAGGAGUUUUGGCGCAAUCUAGAUCUCAAGAAAAGGAAAGUUGUAGAUGGUUUAGAUUGAGGGAGGGUGUUAGAGAUAUGUCGUAAUUAUCCGUAAUUAUCCUUUAGAAUUUAUGUUAGACAUAACCGAGGAAUUAUAAUCGGUUCAAAUCAUGGAUAUCUCCCUAUAUCUCCAGCUUGUAAUAUUCAAAUCUUGUACUAUUGUGACUAUAAAUAUUAACAUGUAACCGUGGCAAGUCAUGAUAGGCAACCACGUUCCAAUCUCUUUUACGCCUGCGUUAACUCGAUAGAUUUUUCAUUGGUCCGGUGGGUUGAUUGUAAUUCUGAAGGCCAAUUUGCUGCCAUGGACAGGCCAUCAGAGGUCAAUCCGAUCAACAAUUCAGCGAUCGGCUAACUGAAACUGCCCGGGCAGGAAACUUCUGCCUGGUUUCCGGUUGACUGGAAUAUAAUCCUGGCAUGUUUGAGCUUUACUACGCAUCUUAACAGCUGAAAAUUCUUGAACAAACAAUCUGCUACUGCUGUUCCCAGUUGGACAUUCAAGAGAUUUGACUCUCUCCAACCGGGACUAAAGGUGGAUGUUCCAUCAGUGAGAUUACUGAAAAAUAAACAACUUGCAAGCAUACAGUGCUAUAUAUUAUUAUUACACGAGAGCCGGGCCAGGAUGAUGCAUGACCCCGUUCAUGCGGGCCCUUUAAUCCCGAGUGGAUAACUAAAGGAGGAUUUUAGUCCAGAAAACAUAGUCCCGGUUGGAUAGAUUACUGGAAAUAAAAAAGAAAAGAAACACCUUGCAAACAAACAGUGUUAUAUGUUAUUAUUACACGACGGCCGGGUCGGGAUGAUGCAUAUAUAGAUCAGAUGGUUUGUUCAGGCAGGGAUCGGAGCGCUAGCAGCAGCAACAGUCUCAGAGGUGCAUUUGGUUGAGCACCAGCACAUAAAAACGCUACAUUCGCCGGAAAUAUUGUUGCUGUUUUCGGCUAAGCAUACACGCUUGCAGGCUUGGUCGUGGAUCAAUCCAAAGCACACUCCUUUAAAAUUAGAACUCUGGUAUUCGUUGCAAGGAAAAAAAGUGAAGCCCCCAACCGACGCCGACUCUGCUCCAUGGAUCCGACCUGUGCAGGCAUGAACGUUCAUUUAUGCAACAGAACAACUUAAAGAAUUGAAAGAUUGAUCAAACGACAUCGAUCGCGGCUUAAUCUGCAGCAUGUACGUAGGUGAUGCAUGUGCACGCGUGUACGUACCCGCCGCAACGGCGGCUAUGGCGACGAGCAGGAUCAGGACGGCAGAGAGAUUCUUUCCAGCUGAAUGCGCCAUUAUAUUGCUUGUUUUCUGGUGGAAGUGACGUUGAUACGUUGAUCGAACAAGAUUGAGCGAGUCUCUUCUCUUAUAACAGAAGAAAACAUCACUACCCGACGAGCGGAUCCAUCGGACUUGCCAAGAAUGUUGAUCCUCGUCAAGGGCACCAGGCAUCUAUUUCUAUUAGGGAAUAAUAAUUAAUUAAAGCACGGGUCUCCUAGUGUUUUCCAUAGGUGAGGCAUCUAUUUCCGAAAACAAAGGUGAUGAGCUCAGGAAGUGGUCACGACUGAUGAGAGCUCCUAUAGGUGAGGCCGUCCGUGCUGCCAUGAAGGUAGUAAAAAGUCUAGCUCGAUUGUCCUUGUAGUGUUCAGCAAAUACUGUGCCCGUAAGCUCUGCUGCGCGUUUCAUCUAUGUGCAAUGGUCAUAGAUUGAGUUUCCACAUUUUGUACAUUUUAUAAUAUGAAUAUUCAUAAAUUAUGUUUUUCCACUAAAAUGUUUAAGACAAGAGAAAUGGAAUAACUUAUGUGGAUACUAUAAGUCUGUGAGCAUAUUUACCAGUUCCUGAAGGACAAGGUUCUAUCGGAUGAUAUGAAAGUACUAUCAUGAAAUAUAUAUAUAUAUAUAUAUAUAUAUAUAUAUAUAUAUAUAUAUAUAUGAAAUGCAUAUAUACAAGAUGAAUGUAUACUUGGAAGUAGUCAGCAUGCUAAGGAUGUAUAUAUACGCGUGCGUGUCUGUGUAACUGAAACAAUAAUUAGCAUUAAAAGUAAAAAAAUUCAGAAAAAAGGCAUUUAGUCUCGGUUGGUAAUACAUAAACUGGGACUAAAGGGUCAUGUGCAUGCGCAUGCAUGGAGAUCCCUUUAGUCUAAUUGGUUAGUAUUAUCAACUGGGACAAAAGUCCCUUUUAUCCUAGGUGAAAGAAUCAUGACUAAAGGCUAGAACCUUUAGUCCUGAUUCCAGUUGGAUUUCCGAGUCCUAUGCAGCUUACCAACCGGGAUUAACGGUGAUUUUCCAUCAGUGUAGAAUCAGUCGUGUGGCAAGAUAGCGAACGCUAGUAGUUUCUCCCUAAUGGAAUGCAAAUUGCUAGCGUCAAGCAAAAGAUAAUUAUAGACAAGAUAUUUGCUAUACGAUGAUUGUGCUUCUACGUACAAAAAGGUCCACUCCAUGUCCCAGAGGACCGUCGCGUCAUGGACUAUGCUCCUCCCCUAGGCGUCACCCAUGUCAUGCACUCCACCUUCUCAUGUCGAUCUCCUCGUAACCUGCCUCGGAUUAGAUUCAAACAACAAGGCUUGGGACCUACUUGCUUCACAUGCUUGGCAACAGGGCAGAUUUGCAUUAGCCGCUCCAAAACCAUGCAUAUACUUCUAGUCAACAACAAAAAAACAACUAUCACUACCAGAUGAGCGGAUCCAUCAUCAUGAAUCCGAUCCUAACUAUCACUACCAAAGUUUAUAUUAUAUAUACUCCGAUCUGAUCUAUGAGAAGUCUGCAAUAUAUAUAAAAUCACAUUUCAAAGAUGACAAAUUUGCAUCGGCUGCUCCAAAACCAUACAUAUUUACUAUACAUAGUCAACAGCAACAAAUAAAACUAUCUCUAUCGACUUGCCAAAAAUGCUGGGAGAAAGUAAUGCUAAAUGGUAUGGGAUUCUCCUAUCCUAUGACCCUCCAUACGUCAGAGGCAACAUCUAUUAUUUCUGUUCGGGAACUACAUCCCCUAGUUUUCCACUGCACAAGCUAGCACGAGUCCGGAAACAUGGGGUUUAUAAGCUAUUCUUAUUCCAUCUUGUAUUGGUUGGUUUAUAAGCUUUGCAAUGUGCUCUAUUGUUCUUGUGCUGUAAAGAGUUUUUGAUCUUGGGAUAAACAUGGUGUUUGACGUUGAUGAACAAUUUUUUAUUGCUAUGGAGAUUUUUUAGCAACCUAGUUGUAAGCAUGGUUCUUAAAACUUGGUGCAAAUAUUGUCUUUGUAAGCAUGCUGAUGGGCACGUUCUCUCUUACGAUUGUCCCGAUCUGACUCACAUACUGUGUUGCCUCUUUUUUAGGAGCAACCGGCCUGCCCUCUUGUGUGACUUCCGUGAUGAUACCCUUUUUUUUUCUAGUCUUCACCUUGGAAGGACCUCGGGGCUUCUGACGGUUCGUCGAUCCAGAGGGCUAACAGUUCAAGAUUCAUUAAUUAAUUAUUAGUACAUAGUAAUAAUGAAUUAGAUCAUAUAUUAUAGAUGGGUUAAAAUAUGAUCUAUACCUUGCCAGAAUCUUCUACCACGGCAACGUUUUGUUGGGGCUCGGACUGUUCAUUGCCAUCACCGGAACCCUCCACAUCCCGGUUUUGCUGUGGCUCAUGCUCUUCAUUGCCAUCGCCAGACAGGUUGAGAAACAUGUCUGCCUGGCUACCCUCUUCAUCGGUGUAUGCUAUGGGAAGGUUGGAACUACUAUCACCAGCAAUAAUCCGCUCCAUUAGAUACCUUUUGGCCUUGUCGUCUGCCAUCUUAACUACUUUGUACAUGAAAUCAUAGAACAACUAUGAAAAAAAAUUUAAGAAUGUCCACAAAUUUCAACUAAUUAAUUUCUAAACAUUUCUACAAAAUUUCUAGUAGUUUGUAAGAAUUUCUACCAAAUUUAUAGAAAAUGUACUAAUUUUUUGAAAUAUACUAAAUGUACUAAAUUUCAAUUAAUGCUCAUUAUUGUUUCAGUUACACAGACACGCACGCGUAUAUAUACAUCCUUAGCAUGCUGACUACUUCCAAGUAUACAUUCAUCUUGUAUAUAUGCAUUUUGGUAGAAAUGCUUAGAAAUUAAUUGAAAUUGAGUACAUAUAGUAUAUUUCAAAAAUUAGUACAUUUACUAUAAAUUUGGUAGAAAUUCUUACAAAUUACUAGAAAUUUGUAGAAAUUUCAUAGAAAUGUUUAGAAAUGAGUUAAAAUUUCAUGGACAUUCUUAGAAUUUUUUUCAUUGUUGUUAUAUGAUUUCAUGGACAAAGUAUACGUUGAGAUGGUAGACGACGAGGCCACAAGGUAUCUAAUGGAGCAGAUUAUUGUUGGUGAUAGUAGUUCCAAUCUUCCCAUAGUACACCAAUGAAGAGGAUAGCCAGUAAGACAUUUUUCUCAACCUGUCUUGCAAUCGCAAUGAAGAGCCUGAGCCCUAGCAAAACCUUGUCGUGGAGGAGGGUUUCGGCGAUGGCAAUGAAGAGCCCGAGCCUCAGUAAAACGUUGUCAUGGCAGAAGGUUCCGAAGAUGUAUAGAUCAUAUUUUAACCCAUCUAUAAUAUAUGAUCUUAUUCAUUAUUACUAUGUACUAAUUAAUUAAUGAAUCUUGAACUGUAAGCCCUUUGGAUCGAUGAACCGUCAGAAGCCCCGAGGUCCUUCCAAGGUGAAGAAUGGAACAAAAAAGGUUAUCAUCAUGGAAGUCACAGAAGAGGGCAGGCCGGUUGCUCCCGAAAUAGUGGCAACACAGUAUGUGAGUCAUAUCUGGGCAAUCGUAAGGGAGAACAUACCCAUCAGCAUAAUGGAAUGGAAGGGCAAAAUGACUAAUCCAUACGCGCUCCAGGAUACAGAAAAGAAUAGGUUGUGGGGAGAAGUCAAGAAACAUUUCACAUUUCCCGACGGAUAUAUUAAAAAUGAUGUGAAAGCGUGGACACUGAAGAACAUGGCCACAUAAUUCCAAAUAUUCAAGAAGAUGUUGGAUGCUACCUACAUUAAGAAGGACCGAACUCGUUUUUUUACUAUGUAUCCACAAUGUAGGAACCACUGGGAGACAUUGGUACAAUACAAGAGAAGCCAAGACAGUGUGAACAAGGUCUCCACCAACACAGGCAAUGCUAGGGAUAAGGAGUACCAUCAUAAGCUAGGGUGAGGUGGUUAUGCCAAAGCAAUUUCCAAAUGGAAGCAGAUGGAACAAGACCUGAUCGAUUGGGGUAUCAUACUAGGAACUCUUGAUUGGCCCGAUUGAUCAAAAAAUUGGUAUUAUGCUCAUGGAGGAAGCUUGAGCCCAGACGAUGGGACGCUGAUGUUCGAUGAGAUAUUACGUGAGAAGGCCGAAAAGAUUGACAAGAAUGUUGAAGAAGUUAAGGCUGGGACGUUGAAGGUGUACCGAGAGAAUGAUGAGCUCACAUUGGCCCUCGGGAAUCCUGAACACCCAGGAUGUUCGGGCUUGUUCCGUGGAAGUUUGCAUUCCGAGGUGACUUGGACACAUACAGAAGCCAAAACCCAAAAAAGGAAUUGGAAGAUGAGAGGUGGCGGUGCACGAUAGAAGUCAAACUGCAUUCUAUAGAAGUAACAAUGUAGGAGGGAGGUAGUCGUCAAAUGGUCGACGUAGUUGCCAGCCCUUCUCAACACCUCGGGAGCAGCUGUGCGUCCACAGGGCUCCCUGAUCCACAUACGCUAGGAUUACCUGUGGAAGAGCAACUGUUCUGUGUGGAUGCCUUCAUGCAACGCACCACAUGUGAGCUGCAUACACCGAUCGGCAACCUCAGCAUUAAGGUAUACUUAUACAUAAUAUUUAUGCAUCGGUUAGCAAUCUAAAUCCAUGGAACCAAGCCUCGGGAUCAGAGUUUAAGAACUUCUUCAUUUCUUUUUUAUGUCCAGGUGGUGUACGCGACUACCUUGCCAAUCCUGCCAAACCAUACAUGCCAUGGUCUGGAGAUUCCACCUGGCUACGCCAGCGUCGGCGUAGAGAGAAUCGCCGAUAGCCAAUUUGAAGGCCUAGAGGUUGACAUCCCACCAAGCGAUGGGUCAACAACAUUAGGAGAAGUGGUUCACGGGGUCAUUCUAUGGAGCAAACGCUACAUCAUCCCCGGCAUGGAGGCACCUCCUCAGAGCUCAAGGCCACUUUCCGCAAAUCCACAGCAGCGACCACCUCCUCAAACAUCUAGACCAUCAUCUCUACCACAACCUGCUCUAGGAUCGUCAUCACCACCGGGACUGUCGCUUGCUGCUCGAUCAAGGUCUCCAUCUCCACCACAUCCUGGUGGUUGGAGUGACGACAAUGACAACAACACCCCUCCACAAUCACCUUCGUCGGGACUAAGAGUACCAUUUAAGAAGUAGCGACUACUACCUUCCAAGCCAAGACAGUAUAAGAAGAAAACAAAGUAGCCUGAGGUGACUCCUGAGGAACGUCAGGAGGCAAUGACUCAUGAGGAACACUGGGCCGAAACACAAGCAAAAGCCAACAAGUGGAUAAAGGAAUAGGUCAAAUUACAAAAAGGCAAGGGAUACGGAGCCACCACUAGUAGAUCAAAGAGAAUUACAUAAAUUUAUCAAGGUACAAGAACAAGACAAGAAGAGUCAACCACUUCUAUCGAAUUAUGAACGGGUGUUAGUCAAGGCUAAUGAGAAGAAAAAAAGGAAAAAAGUUGAGCUGCCAGCUAUACAGCCAGGUGAACCAAAAUGGACCCUUGAGCUAGGCAAGCCUAUGGUUUGUGCUGAAAUGCUAAAGAAGCUAUCAACGAAGAUGUACGAAUUCCAUCAAUUGUACAUGAAGUUGUCUGGCGAUGAGAAGGAGAUGUUGGGCCUUAAGCUAAAACUAAUAGAUUUUCACGGCGUAGGCAAGGCAGUCCUAUGGAUACAAUUCAAGGAUAUAUACGAAGAGUACCAUCAUGGUGCCCUGGACGUCUCUCUCAUCAGUGCCUAAACUUUGUAAGUGUCCGUUUAUAUCUACAUGUAAAUUUUGGCUCAUAUCAUUUUUUUAUGCAUGCGUCGCCUUACUAAUUAACUUCACCUUCCAUUUUAUGUAGGAUGCUAAUUCAGACAUGCCGACAUGAAGCGUACCUCCAUGUUGGCUUCAUGGAUCCAUCCGUAGUGAACCAGCCCAAAUACGAGAUUUUCCAGACAAAACGUUGGUGGCAGUAUACAAUUCCCUAGAUAGACAAAAAUUAAAGGAUUACAUACUACUUCCAUACAACUUCAAGUAAGUUUGUGUACAUAUACCGUCUAUUUUUGUUUUAUUUUUCCUUACCUAAUUAAUGUUAGUUAGCUCUAAUAUAUAUGAACAUUUACGUGCGCAGAUCCCAUUGGAUCCUCAUUAUAAUUGACAUUGAUCGAAGUCAAGUCACUAUCUUUGAUUCGUUGAGGAGAGAUCCGAAGGAGUACGAAGAUGUGCAAGACAUGCUAGGCUUGUAAUAAUUCUGGACCUCUAUCUCGAUACAAAAUUUUGUUUCCUAAAUUUUCAUCUAAGACUAUAUAUAUCAUUCAUUAUUUUAAUCUGCAGAGCAUGGAGAGAAUUCAUUAGGACAGACAGAUCAGGUCAAUUCAAAGUAAAACUUACAUGCAGAACAGACUUCCAGGUACCUAUGAAGUCUGCACAUUUUGUACAUUCUAUAGCGCGAAUAUUUCAUAACUUGUUUUUCCCUACUAAAGUGCUUAAGACAGGAACCCGGGAAUAAUAAUCUAUAUGGCUACUACGUCUGUGAGCACAUGCACGCUUUUGUGGGACCCAAGACUAACAAGAUGACGCCGCACGAAUUUAAAGUACGUAAAAUAAAACUAUUAAUAGUUAUUUAUUUUCUACCUCCUUGUAUUUAAUUGUUCAUGUAAAAUUUACAUAUAUGUAUCCAAAUUACUGAUGAUGGUUAUUCAAGACGGACUCUUGAAGAAGAAAAGAGUAGCGGCAAUAUGUGAAGGUAUUAUUGGAUUCCUGGUGGACGAGGUGGUAAAUGCACAAGGAGAAUUUCAUUACAAUGGACGAAAAUUAGACGCUUCGAGCAGCACCUCGACGGAAAGAUCAUCGUAGAGAUAUAUAUAGUUUGAUUUGUAUAUAUAGUACGCUAGGAAUUGUAUAUGUAUAGUAUUUGUAUAAAUACUUAUUUGAUUCAUUUAAAUACUAGUUUGAUUUUAUUUAAAAAAAGGAUCACCUACUUAAGGUUAACUAAAAGGGUACGCACGUGAUGCAUGAAAUUAUAGGCGCCAUGCAGCCUAACAAAAAGGGGGGCGCGCCUGAAAUUUCAAGCAGAACUUUAGUCCUAGUUGGACAACCAAUCGGACUAACAGGUGACCCUUUAGUCCCGGUUUGUAAUACCAACCGGGACUAAAGGGGCUUGUCCCGCGCCUGUGCUGGCAGCCCCCUUAAUCCCAAUUGGUUUUACAAACCGGGACUAAAAGGGGGUCUUAUAUCCUGGUUGAGGGACUCGGGACAAAAGACCCUCCCCUUUUGUCUCGAUGGAUUAAUCCCGGAUAGGUUUUUAGGAGAUAUGCAUCCUAUCAACCGGGACUAAUACCGAGUUCUCUACCAGUGGGUGUAUAGUUAAAAUUAUGCAUCUAAAAAAGGUAAAAUGAUAUAUAAUUUGGAAUUGAUCUAUAAUUUGGAGCGGAUGGAGUAGAAGACAUGUGCACGUGCAUAUACUAUCAUGAAAUAUAUAUACGACAUGCAUACAACAUGAGCGUAUACAUACGUAUAGGUAUAUACACAAGUGAAGAAACAAUUAGUAUUAAUAUGGAAAAGAAUUCAGGCUUUCGAAAACAUAGUCCCGGUUGGAUAUUCGAGAGAUUUGACUCUCCCUGGAUUUUCCACCGGUGAGAUUACUGGGAAAAAAAGAAAACAAACAACAUACAGUGUUAUAUACUAUAAUUACACGAGGGCCGGGCAUCGGAUGGUUUGUUCAGGCGGGGAUCGGAGCGCUAGCAGCAGCAACAGUCUCAGAUGUGCAUCUGCUUUGGCACCAGCACUGCAAAAGGUAACAGGCGCCGGAAAUAUUGUCGCUGCUUUCGUCUAAGCAUACACUGUUGCAGGCUCUGUCGUUGAUCGGUAUAAAGCACGGUCCUUUAUAAUUAGAACUCAGGUGAUUGUUGCAAGGAAAAAGAUUAUAGUCCCCAACCGACGACGACUGUGCUUCAUGGAUCCGACCUGUGCAGGCAUAAACGUUCAUUUAUGCAACAGAACUUUUAGCUAACUAGCUUAAUGAAAGAUUGAUCAAAUUCUCUCUCUCUCAAAAAAAAAGAAAGAUCAAACGACAUCGAUCGCGGCUUAGUUUCCAUAGUCGACAUGUUUGAGUCCCCUCGGAAUUGGAAAUGAACAUUCCUCAUGAUUCCAACUUAGCCUACCGCUCAUUUAAAAAAACAGGAAAUGAUUUCCCUACCCAAUGGCCUCCCCCGACUCCUUUUAACCCCCGUGCCGCUGACCCCCUGACCCGCCGCCCUCGACGGACUCCCCGAGUGCUGCACCGCCGCCUCCCGCACCACGGCCCCCUCCUCCUUGUUCCCUUGCGGCGAUUUGGUGAGGUUUUCCGCCAUGGAGGCAGCAGGCGUGAUGCAUUGAGGUGCGCGUGCGGGGGCCAAGGCUGGAGCCGGGCACAUGGAUCUGGAGGCCACGGGCGGCACGGCAGCAGCGCAAGGGAAGGUGAGGCAGCCAGCUCGUGGCCUGGGGUACUUGGAUUUGGAGCGCUGGCUUGUGUUGUGUUGUGGGGCUUCGCUCCUCAAUUUCCUGACUGCUUGCUUGAUUGCUGCUUCUCCUCCCGCAGAGGUGGCGUGGGUGUCAUGGCGCGCGACGCUGCUGCUUGCAUACCAGAGCCUCAGGUUGGUGUACGGCGACGUGGCCAUGUCGCCGCUCUAUGUCUAGAAGAGUGCCUUCGCCAGCAACGACAUCCAACACUCGGUGCGCCUACGCCCCCUCUUCCUCCUCCGUCGCCACCUCCUACGCGAAGAAGGCGACGUCAAGGAUCUCUAGGGCAGGCGCCCCCGUCUACCUCGUCUCAAGGAAAAAAAAAGUUGUUCUGAAACUUUGAAACCAUUCUAUUGCGGCAAGUUAUGCAGUAUAGGAUAUUGUUCAGAAAGUAUUAGCUCUUGCAAGACUAGAGAUCCUCUCAUAGCUUGCAGCAGCAGUCACAAUGGAAAACUGAGAAUGGAUGCUUGCAGAUUAAUUAGCAAUGGGAAACUGAAAUUGGGGUGGAGGUGAUCGGCAUCAGCGGCAAUGACCCGGCGCUGCACAAGGCGUUCUCGCAGAAGUACCGGCUGCCGUUCACGCUGCUGGCCGAUGAGGGGAACCACGUGCGCAAGGAGUAUCGGAAUCUGAAAGUAUCGGCAUCUGAAAGUCUUAGCUUCGCGGCCGGCCGGCCAGCGGCGGUACGGUUCUUGGGCAUUGCUCUCUCUGCAUCCAUCAUUGUUGUAAAUGUAGCGAGACCAUAUCUAUAUGAAGAGCUGGUUAUUUGUUCAGUGCUUCUUCAGUCUAUCAGGCUCGGCCCGUUUGGCUGGCCAAUCUGUUGAAUCCAAAUAGUAUUUGGAAUUCAAUUUUAAGAAAAACUUUCUCGAUACAUCCAAACAAGAAAAUUCAAUUGAAUCAAAUUCUAUGAAAUCCAUUUUCUAUGGAAUCUAAUUGCUAGAAUAAGAUUCAUGGAAUGAGUUUCAAUUCUAAGGAAACAAACGGGCUCCAAGUGAAAUUACGGAAAAAAAUAGAAAACAAACAACUUGCAAGCCUACGGUGUUAUAUAUUAUUAUUACGCGAGGGCUGGGCCGGGAUGAUGCAUGGAUCGGAUGGUUUGUUCAGGCGAGGGUCGGAGCGCUAGCAGUAGCAACAGUCUCAGAGGUGCAUUUGGUGGUUGAGCACCAGCACUCAAAAAAUUCACAGGCGCCAGAAAUAUUGUCGCUGCUUUCGGCUAAGCAUACACGCUUGCAGGCUUUGUCGUGGAUCAAUCCAAUGCACAGUCCUUUAUAAUUGGCACUCAGGUGAUCGUUGCAAGGAAAAACAUUAUAGCCCCCAACCGACGCCGACUCUGCUGCAUGGAUCCGACCUGUGCAGGCAUGAACGUUCAUUUAUGCAACAGAACAACGUUUAGCUUAAAGAAAGAUUGAUCAAACGACAUCGAUCGUGGCUUUGCAACAUGUACGUAGUUGAUGCCAGUGUACGCGUGUACGUACCCGCAACGGCGGCUAUGGCGACGAGCAGGAGGACGGCAGAGAGAUUCUUUCCAGCUGAAUGCGCCAUUACAGUGCUUGUUUUCUGGUGAAAGUUGGUAUGUUGAUCGAACAGGAUUGAACGAUAAGAUUUGACGAUCGAGUUUGGAGUGUCUUCUCUUAUAACAGAAGAAAACAUCACUACCCGACGGGCGGAUCCAUCGGACUUGCCAAGAAUGUUGAUCUAUUUCUAUUAAAGCACCAGGCAUCUAUUUCUAUUAGGGAAUAGUAAUUAAAUAAAAGUGAUGAGCUCAGGAAGAGGAGGGUGAUGACGACUGAUCAGAGCUCCUUGAGGUCACGGCCAUAGGUGAGGCCGUCCCUGCUGCCAUGAAGAAGAUAUAGUAAGCCUCUAUAGUCCUUGUAGUGUUCAGCAAAUACUGCACCCGCCGGUUUUGCUGCAUGUUUCAUCUCUGUGCAAGGGUCAGGUCAUAGAUUGAGUUUGCACAUUUUGUACGUUAUAUAACACGAAUAUUUUAUAACUUAUUUUUUUCUAAAAUGUUUGAGACAGGAAAAAGGAAAUAAUUUAUGUGGAUACUACAUCUGAUCUGCUAUUUCCUGAAGGACAAGGUGCUAUCCGAUGAUAUGAUAGUACAUAAAAUAAAAGUAUUAAUAAUAACUAAUCAUUUUCUCUUUAUAUUUAAUUGUUGGUACGUUUAACAUUCAUAUAUUUGCAAAUUAUACAUUUUCAUGAUUAGGGAAGCACUCUUGGAGGAGGCCGGAUAGCAAUCCAAGAAGCACUCAUAGGAUUUUUGUGCGAUGAUGUGAUAAAUCUUCAUGGAGAAUUUCAUGAUGUGCAUUCAAUUGCGAACCAAAAGGCUAUGGUCGGGGAGGAUUCUAAGAAUUAAGGGGAUAAAUUAUUGUAUAUAUAUAUAUAUAUGCUAUUAACUGUAUAUAUAUAGAAAUUGUAUAUAUAAUAGUAUCAUUUGCAAUUUAAUAAUAUUUUUAUAUAUAGUAAUUAUAAUUAAUAUUAUGGAUAUACUAUCAUAAAAUAUAUAUACGACAUGCGUAUAUACAAGAUGAAUGCAUACAUGUAAGUAGUGGAUGCUAAGGAUGUAUACGUGCACGUGCGUGUGUAUAAGUGAAACAAUAAUUAGUAUUUAAAGUAAAAGAAGAAUUAAGAAAAAAAAAAGCAUUUAGUCCCGGUUGGUAAUACACUAACUAGGAGUAAAGGGGCCACGUGCAUGUGUAUGCGUGACGACCACUUUAAUCCCGGUUAGUAUUACCAACCGGGAUAAAAGGUCCCUUUAGUUCCAGGUGAAGGAACCAUGACUAAAGAUUGGGACCUUUAGUCCUGAUUUAUUAGUCCCAGGUUGGAUUGUCGAGUCCUAUGUGGCAUACAAAUCGAGACUAAAGGCGGGCUUUCCACCGGUGGUAGAAUGAGUCGUGUGGCAAGGUAGCGAACGCUAGUACACUUCAUUGAGAAUCGACUAUCCAUCCCCCCUUUAGUCUCGGUUUAAUUUAGACCUGGGAGAAAAGGGGGUGCGCGGAGCUUUACUCCCAGUUGGUAUUUGCAACCGGGAACUAAAAGCCCCCAUUUUGCCCCAGUUUAAAAAAAGAUGACCUUUAGUCCCGGUUGAAAAAAUCUACCAGCCGUGGGGAACCAUUUAGUCCCGGAUGGUAAGACCAACCGGGACUAAAUGUUACCUUUUUAAUCCCGAUUUGUAAUACAAACUGGGACUAAAGCCCACGACACCAACCGGGAUAAAAUAGGAUAUUUUAUCCCGGUUUUAAACUCCAACUGGAAUAAAAGGGUCCCAAAAAAACUAAAGUCCUUGCUCACUUUUUAUCCCGGGAUAAAAAGGGUGGUUAGAAAAAGGAUGAAAUCCCUCAACAAACCGGGAUAAAAAGGUGACAUUUAUCCCGGUUUGUAUUACAAACCGGGAUAAAAUGGUCCCCCACGAGUUAGUACAAAAGGAUAAAAGCUCUUAUAUAGUCAGAUGUGGUGUGUAGGUGGAUGGUAAGGAGGCUACGUGCGAGGCUUGAGGUCAUGGGUUUGAAUCCCACGGACCGCGCACGCGCAUAUUUCGCGCAAAAAUCACGUGACUUGGACCCCCGAGAUUUUUUAUUUUUAUUUUUUGCAAUUUUUUUGCAAAACCAUUUAGUCCCGGUUGGUUACCAACUGGGAUAAAAGGGGGCGGGAGGCAGCCCCUGGCGUGGCGACCAUUUUAUCCCAUGCCAUGCACUCCAGCUUCUCAUGUCGAUCUCAUAAGGCUAAUCCCAGUGGGAGUUUAAUAGAGGUUUCAUGCACAUUAAUUAAGGUGCCAUAUCAGCAUUUUUUAUGAUGUGGCAGUGAGUUAUUAAGGAGCGCCGGCAAGCCGUCCGGCUAGAGGCACGGCGUGAGGUUGAAGAUGGCUUGGAGUUUUUGCAGAUUAGCCCUUGGAGAAUCCAAUAACCUAUAGAAGUUUCCUUAUGUCUUGGUAGUCUUGCAGAAAACCCCCUGGAAAGUUAGAUGCCAGCAAUCCAGCCCAACCCGGGACCUUUUGUGGAUCUAACCCCAAGGAUUCGCCUAUUCGUAGUGACUAUUCGCUGAGUCUAGGUAAUUUUUCUUGCUAGCCCUCCAAGUAUACGAUUAAUUCUGUAUAGACCCCUGCAAACUUGUUUAGCCCGUCCAAUUUACGUUUCAACUCUGUUUCCAUCCGAUCAAGUUGCGUUAGAUUCAUAAUGACAUAAAUUACACGUUAGUAGUAAUGUUUUCCUUCACACAUGUUUUUGAAAAUAAAUUUUAUAUUAAAAUUGAUUAAUGCCUAAUGAACAAGUGUUUCUCUAAAUAAAAUCUAUAUAGUGUUAUAUAUCAUUUUUCAUACUUAAAUGUUAACUUGAUUAAUGCAUACUUCAUAUUAUUUUCUAAAUAAAAGCAAGUUAGGUUAUAUAUCAGUUUUUCUUAAACUAUAGUUAAUUUGAGUAAUGCUUAUCUAAACAAUUUUCUUUCCAAAUAAAAGCUAAUUAGAGAUAUACCUCGGUUUUUCAUAAAAUAAAUUCAAUUUGAUCAAUAUUAUUCAAAUUGCUUUCUAACUAAAAGCUACAUAGGAUAUAUCUCGAGUUUUCAUAAUUAAAUAUUAAUUCGACUAAUAUAAAUAUAAAUGUGCUUUUAAAAUAAUAUGCUAGUUGAACUCGAAAUAUAAAGUUAUGUGUUUAGUUGUUUACAUAUACUUUAUUUUCAAAUCAAAUGUUUAAUUUGCAUAAAUUGUACUUAAAUAUUUAUAAAUAAAAUUGGACUAUGCUUUACCUCGUCUUUUCUUAUGAAAAUAUAAAUAUGACUUGAUUAAUUCUAACUAAGGAUAUUUCUCUGAAAUAUCUAUACAUUGUUUUUCUCAACUAAAAUGAAUGAAGCCAGUAUCUCUUGUCUUGUAUAAUUCAAACCUCUCGAUAGUUUUGCCUCAUCGAUCAUCGUUCCAUUUUAAAGCGUUUCUUGUGUUCGAGUAAUCCUAGAAGCGAGCCCUGUCCUUUAGUACGCUCUUUUAAAGCUUUUCUACUGUUUUGGUGUAUUGUUCUUAGUUGUACUUACUUGUUCGCUUGUAUGUUUGUGCCGAUGAUUGUUUCAAGUAGAAGGAACGCUUUUCGGAAGAUUUAAAGAGUAAGAGCUUCAAGAGAGUAAGAGCUGAAGACCUGUAAGAGUAACUUUCGUUGGAAAAGAGGCAAGUGUGCCAUUGUGCUUUUAUCCCAAUAACUUUAUUUAAUCACCAUUGCAUGUGCUUGCAUUUAAUUUGAUGGGUCCUAUUAAGGUUUGCCUAGUUUUUAUGAUCAUUCCUUGUCAACCUGGGUUUAUAUUUCUGUUGGGUAGCUAUGCUUAGCCGCUACACUUGGGUUAUGGUGGUUCUAAUAAACAAUAUGAUGAACUUAUUCUAUUUAUGCUAUACCUUUCGAUAAUACAAGAUCACUAUGUUUAACUGGAACAUGGAGCGACCACCUAGGAAAACAGUGUAAUCACAAGAACUAUCAUGACUCUGGUCUUGGCUGAAUAAUUAGUGGACUCUAGUGCUGGACUAGUGCUAAGAGGGGGCAUGACUCGCGGAACCUCAUGCACUGGAACACAUUGGGGAAGUCUUUGUAAAGGCCACGUAGCGUCCCUAUGCAAUCACACCUCGGAAAUGUGGUAUUGUGCUUGGCCGGCACAGCAUGGUUGGGUCCAAAGUUCUUCUGAACUUUUACGCGACUUGUGGGUAACGAUGUGCAACCUCUGCAGAGCGUAAAACUGAUCGAUCAGCCGUGCUCACGGUUAAGAGCGGCCUGGACCCUCACAUGAUUAAUAUACCUGAAGAUGGACUUAAAUCAUGGUUAUAUUUCUGCCAUAUGCUUAUGGCUUAUGUUUAUAUUAAUUGUGGGUUGGUAUAUACUUAUACCUUAGCAAUCAAGUGCUAAUAAAAUUUGACCAACUAAAAAUGCUUAAUGGAGUCAACCAGACAGCCUUUCGUUGAUAAGCCUUGCAUUCAUAUAUUCUCCACACUUCCUGAGUAUGACAUGUGCUCACCCUUGCUAUAACCAAUGUUGCUCAGAAGAAGAAGCUGCUAUGAAAUUGUUGUGAAGAAGGUGUCGAGUUCUAGGCGUACGCAACCCCCAGUCGAUUGCGUGUGAAGUUUGGAUCCUCUGUUUCCAGUGUUUAAGCUGUGUAUCUUUGAUGGUCUCGUAAGUUUAUUUGUACUUCUUUACGUGAUACUAUUGUUGUUAUUCACUAAUGAUGUCACUAUAUGUAUGAAACUUGAUCCUGACAUACAUAUAGGUAGCACUUGGUUUUGCCUUUAAAACCGGAUGUGACACCUACUAGGUCUCGUCCUGUGUAAUCCUACUAGGACUUCACCUUGUAAUCCGACUGGUACUCUACCCCCUAGAGUAUAUAAAGGAGGGCAGGGGUACCUAGCUCGGUAGGUCACACCUCAACACUCAAGCGCAGGGCGCAAUAUACAAACAUCCCUAAACAGGACGUAGGGUAUUACGCUACUUCGGCAGCCCGAACCUGUAUAAAUCUGUGUCUUGUGCCCUUGCUUUUACCUUCAGGUUACAGGUCUGGCGAUCCCCCACCGACAAGGAGACUACCUAGGGCAUCCCUUGGUAGGCUGCCGGUAUAAAACACCAACAUUAGCGUCCAUCGUGGGGCAAAUCGUCGAGAUCAAGCUUGAAGGACCUUAUCACCAAAAUCAAUCCAUUCCCCACGCGACCUCAUUGUGUUGCGGCUGAUCGGCAACUCAACGUGCUCGUGCAAAACCCAAGUGGAUCGGUUGGUAUCAUCGUUGUCCAGCAACAUCGAUACCCGAAAACUCCAUAUGCAUCAGCAUGACGAGCGCGAGGAGAAGCCCGACAGUCCAAAUCGGACUCCUAUUCGGCGAGACAAGUCAAAGGUGUAUUCGAUCCCAAUUGUUACAUCCACUCCGAAAGCUUCUGAGCCCGGACAGAGCAAGACACGUACCGCCGGUUUCCUGCCCUGUUUUCCGCUUGGUCUUUUUUUUGUCACGGAAUCAGAGCGCGCUGGGCAAAAGUUGUGUCCGACUCGCAUUACAAGACAAGCCAAUCAGAGAUUGCAGCUCCGCAAGCAUGCGUGAAAAAAAGGGGGCUUUUGCAGUGCCAUUGCCGGGGCCCGUCAAAUCAGAGAAGGGAUCGGCAUCAGAAAAAAAAUCAGAAGCAAGAAAGGAGCUACGCGAGUAUCUGCUGCCGCUUUGCUGAUUCACACGGAGAGCUACCACAAGAAUCCCGAGACCUUCGCUCGACGUACACAGGAAACGUACACGACCUUUACUACAUCGACGUCCGGCUGGAUACUACCUCGUCAAACGACGACUCCUCCGUUUACGUCGCGAAGCUUGCCGACGACUACUUCGACAGGCGGCUCGCCAACGGCUGUUUCAACUACGCCGUGAUGCCUGCCACCGCCUACCUCGAAUACUCGUAUCGACUAGCGAACUAGUCGAUGGUAGGCUUCGCAUUGUCGACAACUAGUCGGAAUCGACUCCGACUAGCCGGCUCCACCAACAACCGUUGCGGCUUCAUUGACGACAAUCUCGACUACAUCGACAUCUGGCCGCAUCAACUCGCCGGCGACUACAUCGACUACUCGUCUCGACUAAAAAAAUUAGUCAGGGCAAACUUCGCACCAUCGACAACUAGUCGGAAUCGCCUUUGUCUAGUCGACUUUGUCAACAACCGUCGCGGCUUCAUCAACGACUGCCACGGCUUCAUCAACAAUCGACUACAAAUCAAGCUAAGUCACUUUUCUAAUUAUUUUCCGGCUUAUUUUCCACAUGCGCAACACGCGCUCUACUCGUUGGAAACUCUUGCGCACAACACGCGCUCUACUCGCCGGAGGGCAGCAAACUCUUGCGCACAAUCGCGCUAUCUUUUUGUCGCAACUGCGACUACUCACUUUAAUCUUCUCUUGAGGUCACUACUCUUCUCGAGAUGAACUAGCCUUGACACGUGAAAGCCUCAGGUGCACUUGUGAUGCCAAAUGCUAGCACACAACAUGAGACCACGCUCUCAGCUGUGCACACAACAAUGCCCAUAUGCGUAUACGAGACAACGCUCUCACACACACAGUGGCUACAGCUAAAUGGGGACUGAGAGCCUAAAUGUAAUAGGCUAAAUACUCAGGAAGAACGCGACUGAAACAAGAGCUUGAUACGCAUCUUUCAGUAGUUUCAAUAUUCUAAAAAAUGCUACAUAAUGUACGCAUUCUUUCUUUCAGGUCAAAUUUCAGCGAUGACGCUCCAGUACACUCAGCAUGCCUCCAAAGGAACAGACCUGUUCUCGAACUCGGGGACUAAGCACCAAUAACUACUCGAUGUGGCUUGCACGCUCACCCAGCGCAUAAGCUCAGGGGCUGGAUGUCGCAAAACUACUCAGAUGAUGACUUGCAUGAACAUUCAAGACCCUCGAAUUGAUUAUUCAAUCAUUCCAAGGCUCGGGGGUGAUAAGCUACACCCAACAAUCAAUUUUUCAAAUCGAAAGAAGAAGAUUCAAGAUUUUGACCCUUAGCCUAAUUCCUUGAUUCAACCUAAGGCUCGGGGGCUACUCCAUAUGGAGUGCAACUUUCGCCGCCCUCCAUAUAUGAAGACUACAAUAUCAAGAUGAUCAAGGCUUUGAGCACACCAUAACCUCAUGGCGGCUUUGUGAAACUUUGAAGAUUCAACUGACAAAGUACUCGAAGAGCACCAACACUACUUGGCGAAUAUCUCAAGACUACUCGAAGGCUACUGCAUUUGGCUAUGAAGUGCUUGGGGGCUUGUCGGGGAUAGAUCCCCGGUACCCGCAAGGAAGGAAGAAGUCGGACUCCUACUAGGAUUCCCCUGUAAUCUUACUAGGACUCAUCCCGUGUAAUCCUACUAAGACUCCUCCUUGUAAUCCGACUGGUACUCUGCCCCGUGGAGUAUAUAAAGAAGGGCAAGGGUACCUAGCUCGGCAGGUCACACCUCAACACCCAAGCGCAGGGCGCAAUAUACAAACAUUCCCAAAUAGGACGUAGGGUAUUAUGCUACUCCAGUGGCCCAAACCUGUAUAAAUCUAUGUCUUGUGCCCUCGCUUUUACCUUCAGGUUCCAGGUCCUAUGAUCCCACACCGACAGGUAGACUACCUGAGGCAUCCCCUGGUAGGCUGCCGGUAUAAAACACCGACAACGUGUGUCUUAGAAAGGACUAAAUCCUUCGAACCAUUUUAUCCUAGUUUGUAAUACAAACCGGGAUAAAAUGGGGUCUUUUAUCCGGGUUGGAAACUCCAACCGGGAUAAAAAGGGUCUCCACGAGUUAGUACAAAAGGAUUGCAUCCCCUAUAUAGUCAGAUGUGCUGUGUAGGUAGGAUGGCAUGGAAGCUACACGCGAGGCUUGAGGUCGUGGGUUUGAAUCCCACAGACCGCGCACGCACAUAUUUUGCGUGAAAAUCGUGUGGCUUUUGACUUGUGACGUGCGCUUGUGGGGUGCUCCCUGGGACCCCUCGGAGAUUUAUUAUUAUUUUUUUGCUUUUUUUUGCAAAACCAUUUAUCCCGGUUGGUAUUACUAAUCAGAAUAAAAGGGGACCUGUCCCGCGCCUGGUGUGACAUCCCCUUUAGUCCCGGUUAGUAUUACCAACCGGAACUAAAAGGUAUCUUUAGUUGCGGUUGAGGCACCUGGGACAAAAGACACCCCCCUUUGUCUUGAUUCCUUUAUUCCAGAUGGUUUUUCAGGAGAUUUGUACCCUACCAACCGGGACUAAUACUCAGUUUUCUACCAGUAUAUUAAACUACGAUCCCAUCUAAGAAAAGUCUGGCAAUAGGACAGAUUUGCAUAAAAAACAACUAUCACUACCAGACGAGCGGAUCCAUCGUCAUGAAUGUAGAUCUUUAGGAAUGCUGGGGGAAAGCAAUUUGAUGACUAGGCAUUACAUCCUAAGGCUAGCUACUCGACCGAGGGCAUGCCGACAACAUCCACGCCUUGAUGGAAUCCCUCCCAGGCGAGAGCUUCGAUAGCCUUUGCUAGUUUUACUGGUGGAAAACGCGACAUUAGUCCCAGUUGGUAGGACUCAAAUGUACCAAAAAUCCACGUGUUAUUAAAUUUUUGAGACAAAAGGAUUCAUUAGUCCCAGAUCAUUCACCUCAACCAGGACUAAAAAGUAUCAAAAAAAUAAAAAAGCACCCAUGUGGCCGCGCGCCGGCCGCCACCCGGCCGCGCCACUACCCUGCCCUCGCCCUACUGCUGCUCCUCACUGCCAGUGAGGGGCGAGCAGAGAGGGAAGAGGAGGGGCAGCAAAGUGGGAGGGGGUGGCGGCAGUGGUGCAGAGAGGGAGGAGAGGAUGAGGAGAGGGAGGCGGAGAACGCUGGUGGAGAGGAUGAGGAGAGUGAUGAGAGGAAGAAGAUAAGUGGUGAGGAGGAGAGCGCUGCCUGGGAGGAUAAGGAAGGUGGAGAGAGGGCUGUGUAGAAAUCUAGCACCGACACCCCUUUUGCCCCGGUUGGUAUUGGAGUGGGCGUCAAUGCUAGGUUUUCUAGCCGUUACAACCGGGACUAAAGGGGGGUUUUAGUCCCCGUUUAUUUUUACAACGGUGACCAAAGCUCUCCCCGUGGUCGCCUUUGGUGGCACAUUUUUGAUCCGGGAUUAAAGCUAUUUUAGUCACGGGUCCAAUAUUAACUGGGACUAAAGAAGUCGGAUGGAAGAUCAAUUCUCUACUAGUGUUUACCGUAAACUAGUAGUUCUUCCUCAUGUAAGUAGGUUGGUUAUCCUUUGCUGGUCUGCCUAGCCAUCCUUCACGUCGUAAUCGUGAACCUAUCAAUCUCUCAGGCGAGCUAGGGAGCGAAAACGCAUCAACAGUUAUAAUGCUUAUAAAUUUUUAUAAUCUCUCAGGCGAGCUAGGGAGCGAAAACGCAUCAACAGUUAUAAUGCUUAUAAAUUUUUAAAUAAAACGGAUGGUCAAAGUUGCAAGCAAAAGUCAAUGGCGACAAAUAUUUUGACAUAGACGAACGUUAUAUUCGUCCUUUUAUGUUUUCAUCGUUGAAAUCCACAACAUGCAUUUACGGAGAAACACAACAAUUUUAUUAUCAAUAAGUAAGCGGGCCUACAUUAAUAUUAUAUAUUAUUACAUGAGUGCUGGGAAGAAGGAUCGAUCGGAUCAUUAUUCUUUCAAGGAAUGCCACCAGGCAAAAGGAUCACUGUAUCGUGGCUGCAUUGGAGCACUAGCAGCAGCAAUAAUCUCAAUUACAGGCCGUUGCAAAGGGUACGCGUAGCACCAGCAUUUAAAAUCUCGACAGCCGCCUCGGACGUUGUUGAUUUUUCCAUCGUUUUUGCUCGUCGCUAAGAUCACCGAAGCACGGCCCUUCGUAACUGCCGCUCUGGUGGUAUUCGCAAGCAUAGACCCCAGUAGACGCCAACUCUCUUAUAAAUAGAAUUAGGGGCAAUGUAUUCUUUAAUUUUUGGGACAGAGGGACGAGUAGUAUAUACGCAAGAACGUCGUUAAUCAAAUAAUUAAAGGUGACUUUUAGCAUAUAUGUAGGUGUAUAGAUAAAAUUAUGCAUAUAGAAAAGUUAAAAUGAUCUACAAUUUGGAACGGAUGCAUGGAAUAGAAGAUUAAUCAAACGACAUCGCAGAUGUAGUUCAUAUGCACGUGCACACGUACUUACCGCCAGGGGCCGCCAUGAUGACGAGCAGGAGGAGGGCGGCAGAGAGAUUUUUUGGUGAGGGCGCCAUUGCUUCCUUUGCAAUCACUUACAUGUCCACGAGUGAGCAUAUAUACACACAAUCUUUUAAUUGAUGAAAAACAACCAUCACUACCCGACGGGCGGAUCCAUCGGAAUUGGCGAGAAUGCCGGCUGCUAGGUACGGACGUCAUGAGUUCCAUGAGACUGAUCGAGACACAUAUAUCCACUGAAAUUGUUACAGCUGGGCUCUUACUUUGCCUGGUAGUGUUUGCUCCUUUAAAAUUGUUGCCAAGUUUUUACUUGAACCAAUAUAAUGUUAAUAGGGCGCUGCUAGCGUCCGGACGUGCUCCCUUGCAACAUCGAAGCAAAAUAUCUGCAACAUCAUAAAUCUAUAUAUGCAACAUUGAAAAAAAUACGAAAAAUCUAGUAGAUUGACUGUGGGAUAGAAAAAGUCCCAUCACAAUAUGAACACCAUAUUUCAUUCAACAUUCACAUUGAAAUAUGCGAAAACAAUAGUUACACCAUCAAAAAUCAACUAUUGAAACAUAUCUCGAAACGUCCGAUUAUUUUUUGACUCCAGACGUUCGAUCCUUAGCAUUACCAAUGUUAGUAUGUGUACAACUCGUAGAACCCAAUGCAUAGUUGAUAAAUCUGGACAGAUAAUAUCCGUCCCUUUGUCACCUCUCUAUGCCCAACGCACUUGAGCAUCUCCAUGUGUGCACUACAAACAAACUAGCUGCAUAAAAGUGUGAGAAAAAGACGCAAACCAAGAACACAGCUAGCUGUGUGUUAAAGUCUAAGCAGCUCUUGGUUUGGAUAGCGGCGAGCCUACCCUGAGGCGCGAGGCUUCUCUUGGUUUGGAUAGCGGCGAGGACUUGUCUAAUGUUGAGGCUGACCCGUCAAAGCUCGUGGCUGGCAAGGAGUCCUAUGCGCCGACUCUUCGUUCAGCUAUCCAAGUUUUUCUUUGUGACUCGCACUUUUGUGUUGAUGUCGAUAGCUUUGUGACGUUCUUUGAACUUCAUAUCCAGAAGCAGAAUGUUCAGUUUGAUGAUGAUGAAACUGUUUAUGAGACUUAGUUUGGUUGCUGCACCUUUACCACGUGGAGAAUAAAAUGAGAAAAAGAAGAUCUGUAGCGUUGACCUCUUGCCUGCUCAGAAGAACAGAUGGGAUGAUGAGUGGCUUUCUUAUUGGUACUAUAUUACAAUUGAUAUGCCGUAGGGUCUGGUGGUGAAUCAUUUAACACUUUUUAUACUACGAUGGCUCCCUUGAACAUCAUUACUGUUCCUGCCUUCGGGAGAACUAAGAGUUUCGGGUCCUGCGAGGAUGCUUUUACCCUCGCGUGUUCUGUUAUCACCGGUCGUGUGACUUGGUUGAAGAAUUUCUUACUGUUUGGCCGCUUGCGGAUGGGUGGGCACCGAUGGAGAUUAAGAUGUUGAAAGUCGAUUGGUAUCAUGUGCCGGUGCCCUUUCCCAUAUUUGGUGUUAGACUUCCCAAGGGUAAAAGUAGUUGUCCAGUAAUUGAAGAUGUUGAGAGGUGUAAUGUUGAUAUUCUUGGUCCAUCUCAUGAGAAUGAACAUUUGGCUGCUCGGAAGAUCGUGACGCAUGGUCGUCAAGUUAACCGGGUUUUUUCUGAGAUGAGUGUGGAGCUUGAGCCCAGGGCCAAACCCAGUGCUCCCUCUAAACGGAUGCACGAGGCAGGGGUCAUUGGUUCUGAGGCUAUUGGCACUGAGGGAGCACUGGGAGAAGAGGAAGAAGAAGAAUGAGGAGCCUGAGAACUUGCCUGUUGGUCCGUAGAGAAUAACUGGUGGCCCUGUUCCUAUCUCCGAGGCUUUGCAAAUGGUUCAUUUUGGAACAAUGUCGGCUAACCCCUCGAGGCCGCUAAGAAGAAAUCCGUUGGACGUGUCGUUGGCAUGUCUAGCAAACAGCUGGAUGUUGACAAAGACUUGGGUUCUUCCGGACUCGUCGCUAAGGCUGUUAUUAACGAGGCUGAUAUUGAGGUGGCUGGAUCCUUAACGGUUUUGUAGGUGAAAAAGGCAGGCAAGAAAGCUGAUAAGAAAGUUCUAAGGAUUGUUGAUGUGUUUAGUGAUGAGGAUGAUGUCACUAGUAGAUAACUGACUUUCAAUUCCUCCUCUUUAGUCCCGGUUUAAUGUAGGCCCGGGAGAAAAGGGGGUGCGUCACUCUUUACUUCCAGUUGGUAUUUCUAAUCGGAACUAAAGGCUCCCUUUUGUUCCGGUUCAAAAAUCAGCCACUCGUGGGGGAUCCUUUAGUCCCGGUUGAAAAAAUCAGCCACCCAUGGGGGACCUUUUAGUCCCGGGUGGUAACACCAACCGGGACUAAAAGUCACGCUUUUAAUCCCGGUUUGUAUUACCACCCGGGACUAAAGCUCACAACACAAAUCGGGAUAAAAUGGGGUCUUUUAUCUCAGGUUCGAAACACCAACCAGGAUAAAAGGGUCCCCACAGGUGGCUAAAAUAGGAUUCAAGCCCUUGGACCAUUUUUAUCCUGAUUUGUAAUACCAACCGGGAUAAAAGGAUGUUUUAAUCCCGGUUGGUAUUUCAAACCGGGAUAAAAGAGUCCCCCACAGGUGGCUAAAAAAGAACUAAAUCUCUCAAAACUUUUUAUCUCGGUUUGUAAUAUCAACCGGGAUAAAAGACCCCCUUUUAUCCCGGUUGGUAUUACAAAUUGGGAUAAAAGGGUCCCCAAGAUUUAGUACAAAAGGAUAGCAUUCCCUAUAUAGUCAGAUGUGGUGUGUAGGUGGGAUGUCAAGGAAGCUAAGCGUGAGGUUGGAGGUCGUGGGUUCGAAUCCCACGGACCGCGCACGGGCUUAUUUUGCGUGAAAAAUCACAUGACUUGUAACUUUACGACGUGUGCCCGCCCCUCCCCCCACCACGGACCGCGCACGGGCUUAUUUUGCAUGAAAAAUCGCAUGACUUGUAACUUUACGACGUGUGCCCGCCCCUCCCCCCCCAAAAUUUUUAUUUUUUAUUUUUGCAAUUUUUUUUGCAAAACCAUUUAGUCUAGGUUGGUAAUACUCCAAACUUCACAGGCAAUCGACUGGGGGCUGCGUACGCCUAGAACUCUACACCAUCGUCACAACAAACUUGAUAGCGGCUUCUCCUUCUGAGCAACAUUGGUUAUAGCAACGAUGAGCACAUGUCAUACUCAGCAAGUGUGAGGAGAUUAUGAAUCCAAGGCUUAAACAAGGAAAGGUUGACUGGUUGACUGCAUUAGGCAUUUUUAGUUGGUCAAAUUUUAUUAGCACCCACUACAAGGUUUUGUCCCUAGCGCAACGGCAAGAAAUCGUUGCAAUAGGGGUCAUUUCGUUGCAAUAGCACCCUAUUGCAACGAUUCCGUGUCGUGGUGCUAAGAAGUCUUGCCGUCACGUAAAAGUCCGUUGUAAUAGCAUAUUACAACGACACAGACAUCGUCGCAAUAAGUACGAGUUAUUGCAACGACGUGUGUCGUCGCACUAACCGGAUAUUACAAUGCUCAUUGUCGUUGCAAUAAUGGCUAUUGCAACGGUAGGGGUCAUUGCUAUAGUGGCUAUUGCAACGACAUUGCGUUGUUGCAAACAAGCCUUAAUGCAACGCAAGACUGUAGUUGCAAUAAUAUGAGGCCUAUGCUGUUGCAAUAUGCUAACAGGCUAUCUUAACGAAAUACAACUCGUGGCUAUAUGCAUGAACCAUAUCCCAAUGAAAUGUUGGUCGUUGCUAUAUGCUCAACAGAUAUCGCAAUGACGACUAAGCGUUGUAAUAUGCGUACAACGUAUCGCAACGAUGUACGUGCCGUCGUUAUAUGCUUCAACCAUAUCGCAACAGAAUAUGCCGUGGUUAUAUGUGUACAGGGUAUCGCAACACAAUACGGGUCGUGGUUAUACGCUCAAUGGAUAUAGCACUGACGUCAAAUCGUGGCAAUAGGAUUUCAAGGAAUCGCAACGAUGUACAUGCCAUCGUUAUACGCUUCGACCAUAUCGCAAUGGAAUAUGUCGUGGUUAUAUGCGUACAGGCUAUUGCAACGCAAUAUGAGUCGUGGUUAUACGCUCAUUGGAUAUCGCAACGGAAAAUAUGUUGUCGUCAUAUGCUUGUUGGUCGUCGGCUAAAACGGAAAAUCUCAAACAAAAAUUAAUACCAGAUAUAUAUCAUUAAUUAAAUCAAUCCAUCAUUCAUGCACACCAUUCAAGAUAAAAUAGAAUAUUCGACAUGAAAAUACUCUUGUCCAUUCAUCCACAUGACACAAUAAUAAAACCAACUAUAUUAUGGCCCCUCCGUAGCUUCACUGGCAUGCUGAAGCGAAGAGAAACAAACAAGUGAAUUAAAACAUGUGAAGCUACUUUGUCUUGGAAUCUCAUGCAGCAAUAUUGAAAGCACAAUUCCAGUUCAUACCAGUUGUACUUUCUUUUUGCCUGCUCGUGUUUUAGCACCAGAUAUAAGCUGCUGUGGAGUAAUGUAUGAUCUCGAUCCUGCAAUAGCUUCGGUAAAUCAGCCGUAACUUUUCAGUACGAUCUCGGAUUGAGGCGAAUUUGAUAUGAAAAUUGAUCACAGGAAAAAGUUACACAUGAAAUUCACCAACUUUGUGGGUCACAGCGAAAUUAGAUUUUCCAAAUUCGGCCUCUAAGAUGGAGUUUCGGGCCUCUGAAGUUUGGAACGCUAGAACGUCUAACUCUGUUUUGCAGGCAUUUGUGAUCGGUAUGGUCCCUGUGUAUGCGAUGCAUGUGUGUAACUCAUUCGUGACCUACGUGUUACGCAUACGGCAACACAGCUGGAGCCAUAUGUGUUGUCACCUUAAUGUAUUCAAUGGCAUGCGUACCAAUCUGUGAUGAUCCAAGCAACUAUGUAAUUUUCAUUACUAGCUAUUAGAUGUAGUAGCAUGUUCUAGUUCUUGGAGGACUCAUCACAAGGAGGAUGGCGCACAUGGAACAUGGAGAUGGAGAUCACCAUGGUGAACAGGUUCUAUGGAGAUGGAGAUCACCAUAAGAAAUCGAACCAUACUAUGUCACAAUUGUGUGCAUGCUAUUCUUAUUGUUUUACUUUCUGCAUGAUGUGAUGUUAGAAGUAGAACGUUCCCUCCUGAAGUUUAAGUUAUCAUGCCCUCCCAACUAAAAUUUUUACCGUCCCAUGUCUUGUACAAUUGGUGGUGGGUCUAUGAAAUUAGGGUGCCACCAAUUUUCCUUGACAAGACGGGUUCGUGUCGGACACUUACAUGCAUAAGGGUUGGUUUGCUUAACAAGGUUAUCUUAGUGGUUAAGGACCUUGGAGCAUAAAGGUUGGGCGCUGAGAUAUGGAGAUGUCAUCCAACACCAGGAGUCAUAUGAGAUAUGAUUAGCAAGAUGUUGCGUACCGAUCUACCUUGUUUGCUAGCGGUGAUGCUAAAGCUCACUAGUAGACUUGUUAGUUGUGGAUCCUGAAUCACUAAGUAUCAAUAGAGGGAUAUUGAUUUUAGUGGGAGUAGAUUCUGUUAAAUAGUUUAAUGUAAUUUUCUCUAUCAUGGUUAUUUUUGUCUUAGUGUAUUUUUGCAUUAUUUUGUUGUAGAUGGCACCUGGCAAUACCACAUCGUUUGCUUUGCGUUCGGUCCUUGAGAAGGACAAGUUGAAUGAAACAAAUUACUCGGAUUGUAUCCAUAACCUGAGAAUUAUUCUUAGGGCUGAUAAAAAAGAAGAUGUUCUAGACACCCUAUUACCACAAGUACUUGCUGAUGAUGCAUCUGCUGCUGUUAAUGCUGCUUACAAGGAAGCAUUUGAUGUCAAUCUUGAGGUAAGCUGCCUUGUGCUUGCUUGCAUGAAAUCCGAGCUGUAGAUGCAGUUUGAAACAAACCAUGAGGCGCACGAUAUGAUCGUGGCGCUUAAGGAUAUGUUCCAGACAUAGGCCAGGACUGAAAGGUUCAAUGUGUCCAAGGCCUUUGUGGAGUGCAAGCUAGCAGAAGGCGCAGCAAUAGGACCACACGUAAUCAAGAUGGUUGGUUACACUCAGCGAUUGGAGAAACUGGGCUUCCCAAUAGGCCAAGAGUUGGCCACUGAUUUUAUCCUUUCAUCUCUUCCGUCCAGUUAUGGGAACUUCAUCUCGAACUACCAUAUGCAUGGGAUGGAGAAGGGUUUGAAUGAAUUGUGGGGUAUGCUUAAAACAGUAGAGGUUGACAUAAAGAAAAACGCUAGUAGCAGCCAUGUGAUGGCGAUACAGAACAAGCCUAACUUUAAGAAAAAGGGCAAUUCUUCGAAGAAGAAGUGCAAGGCUGGAGUGUCCAAGCCAAACCCAGCACCCAAGGUUAAAGCUCGACCUGCUCCAGAUAAAGAGUGUUUUUAUUGUCACGAGCUUGGUCAUUGGAAGAGGAAUUUCAAGCAGUACCUAACUUCGUUGAAGAAUGGCGGAAGUAAGAGUACUUCCACCUCAGGUACGCUUGUGAUUAAUGUUAUAGAUAACAUAUUUCUUGCUGAUACAAUUAUUAAUUCUUGGGUAUUUGAUACCGGAUCGGUUGCUCAUAUUUGCAAUUCGAUGCAGGGAAUGAUAAGAGGAGAAGUUGAUUUCCGCGUUGGCAAUAAUGUAAGAGUUGCUGCGUUGACCGUCGAGACGAUGCAACUCCACCUCCCGUCAGGAUUUAUUAUGGAGUUCAAUAAUUGUUAUUUCGUUCCUAGUUUAAGUCGAAACAUUUUUGUCUCCAUGCUUGAUGAAGGAUGGUUAUUCAUUUGCGAGUGAAAACAAUGGUUGUGUGAUCUCUAAGAAUAAUAUGUUUAUGGCUUUUGCACUCAUUGUGAAUGGAUUAUUUGUUUUAAAUCUUGAUGAAUCACCUGUCUAUAAUAUAAGUGCUAAAAGACCUCGACCUAAUGAUUUGAGUCCUACCUAUAUGUGGCAUUGUCGUUUGGGUCAUAUAAGUGAGAAACGCAUGAAGAAGCUCCAUACUGAUGGACUUUUAACUUCAUUUGAUUUUUGAAUCAUACGAGACAUGUGAGGCUUGCUUGCUAGGCAAGAUGACCAAGACGUCUUUCACAGGUUUUCCUGAGAGAGCAGUAGACUUAUUGGAACUCCUACAUAGCGAUGUAUGCGGACCAAUGAGCACGACAGCCAGAGGAAGGUACCAAUACUUCAUAACUUUUACUGAUGAUUUUAGUAGAUAUGGAUGUCUACUUGAUGAGGCACAAGUCUGAAACCUUUGAAAAGUUCAAGGAAUUUCAAAAUGAAGUUGAAAAUUAGCGUGGCAAAAAAAUUAAGGCCUUGCGAUCUGAUCGUGGAGGCUAGUAUUUGAGCCACGAGUUUAGCAAUCAUCUGAAGAGUUGCGGAAUUGUUCCACAGCUUACGCCGUCUGCAACGCCUCAGAGAAACGAUCAAUGAUGAGCCAGUCGGACCUACCGUUAUCAUUUUUGGAAUUCGCACUAGAAAUAGCAACUUUCACACUUAAUAGGGUACUGUCUAAAUCUGUAGUUAAGACACCAUAUGAGAUGUGGAAUGGAAAGGUUCCUAGUUUGUCUUUUCUAAAGAUCUAGGGACGUGAAGUGUUUGUCAAGCGAUUUCAAACGGACAAGAUCACACCCAAAUCAGAUAAAUGUAUUUUCGUGGGAUAUUCAAAGAAAAUUUUAGGAUAUUAUUUCUACAACCGGUCAAAGAGCAAAGUGUUUAUCGACUUCUGCAUACGGGCACUAGUAGAGAAUUGAGCUUUAGUCCCGGUUGGUAGGGUGCAAAGAUCCCGAAAAGGCAUCCGGGAUAAACCAACCGGGACAAAAGGGGGGGGGGGUCUUUUAUCCCGGGUCACUCAACCGGGACAAAAGACUCCCUUUUAUCCCGGUUGGUAAUACCAACCGGGAUAAAAGGGGUCACCCACGGCCGACGUUGCAAAAAAAAAAAUUCCCGAGCUCCCAGGAGGCCCCCCCACACCGUUAUCAUUUUUGGAAUUCGCACUAGAAAUAGCAACUUUCACACUUAAUAGGGUACUGUCUAAUUCCGUAGUUAAGACACCAUAUGAGAUGUGGAAUGGAAAGGUUCCUAGUUUGUCUUUUCUAAAGAUCUAGGGACGUGAAGUGUUUGUCAAGCGAUUUCAGACGGACAAGAUCACACCCAAAUCAGAUAAAUGUAUUUUCGUGGGAUAUUCAAAGAAAAUUUUAGGAUAUUAUUUCUACAACCGGUCAGAGAGCAAAGUGUUUAUCGACUUCUGCAUACGGGCACUAGUAUAGAAUUGAGCUUUAGUCCCGGUUGGUAGGGUGCAAAGAUCCCGAAAAUGCAUCCGGGAUAAACCAACCGGGACAAAAGGGGGGGUCUUUUAUCCCGGGUCACUCAACCGGGACAAAAGACUCCCUUUUAUCCCGGUUGGUAAUACCAACCGGGAUAAAAGGGGUCACCCACGGCCGACGUUGCAAAAAAAAAAUUCCCGAGCUCCCAGGAAGCCCCCCCACACCGUUAUCAUUUUUGGAAUUCGCACUAGAAAUAGCAACUUUCACACUUAAUAGGGUACUGUCUAAAUCCGUAGUUAAGACACCAUAUGAGAUGUGGAAUGGAAAGGUUCCUAGUUUGUCUUUUCUAAAGAUCUAGGGAUGUGAAGUGUUUGUCAAGCGAUUUCAGACGGACAAGAUCACACCCAAAUCAGAUAAAUGUAUUUUCGUGGGAUAUUCAAAGAAAACUUUAGGAUAUUAUUUCUACAACCGGUCAGAGAGCAAAGUGUUUAUCGACUUCUGCAUACGGGCACUAGUAGAGAAUUGAGCUUUAGUCCCGGUUGGUAGGGUGCAAAGAUCCCGAAAAUGCAUCCGGGAUAAACCAACCGGGACAAAAGGCGGGGUCUUUUAUCCCGGGUCACUCAACCGGGACAAAAGACUCUUUUUUAUCCCGGUUGGUAACCAACCGGGAUAAAAGGGGUCACCCACGGCCGACGUUGCAAAAAAAAUAAUUUCCCGAGCUCCCAGGAGGCCCCCCCACACCGUUAUCAUUUUUGGAAUUCGCACUAGAAAUAGCAACUUUCACACUUAAUAGGGUACUGUCUAAAUCCGUAGUUAAGACACCAUAUGAGAUGUGGAAUGGAAAGGUUCCUAGUUUGUCUUUUCUAAAGAUCUAGGGACGUGAAGUGUUUGUCAAGCGAUUUCAGACGGACAAGAUCACACCCAAAUCAGAUAAAUGUAUUUUCGUGGGAUAUUCAAAGAAAAUUUUAGGAUAUUAUUUCUACAACCGGUCAGAGAGCAAAGUGUUUAUCGACUUCUGCAUACGGGCACUAGUAGAGAAUUGAGCUUUAGUCCCGGUUGGUAGGGUGCAAAGAUCCCGAAAAUGCAUCCGGGAUAAACCAACCGGGAUAAAAGGGGGGGUCUUUUAUCCCGGGUCACUCAACCGGGACAAAAGACAAAAGUCACAAGUCACGCGAUUUUUCACGCGAAAUAUGCGCGUGCGCGGUUCGUGGGAUUCGAACCCACAACCUCCAGCCUCGCGCGUAGCUUCCUUGCCAUCCCACCUACACACCACAUCUGACUAUGUAGGGGAUACUAUCCUUUUGUAUUAACUCGUGGGGGACCCUUUUAUCCCGGUUGGUGUGUCCAACCGGGAUAAAAGGGUUCGAGGAUUUAAUCCCCUUCCAGCCACCUUCCAGUCACCUCGUUGGGGGAUCCUUUUAUCCCGGUUUGAGACACCAACCGGGAUAAAUGACUCCCUUUUAUCCCGGUUGGUAUUACAAACCGGGAUAAAAGGCUCUUGACCCUUUUAUCUCGGUUGGUGUUACCAACCGGGAUAAAAGGGGGGGUCUUUUAUCCCGGUUGGUGUUUCAAAUCGGGAUAAAAUGCCUCUCAGAGUCUUUUUUUCCCACUAGCCUUUGCAACCGGGAUAAAAGGUCCCGGUUGGUGAGCCCCCCACCAGUGACCGAGUUUUAGUCCCGGUUGGUGAACCUUUUGUCCCGGGCCAACUUUAAACCGGGACAAAAGGGGGCGUAUGGAAAGCCAAUUGUCUACUAGUGGGUGGCAGCUAGCACAACUGUUUGACGCUGCGGAGGAGGGAGCCACCGCGGGCGAGGACAGCCUCCACGGUAGCCGAGCUAUGUGCGAGCUCAAGUGCCAGCAUCAUCAUGAUCCAGUGAACAAGAAGCGGUGCGUCGACUUUUGCAUACGGUGGCAGCUAGCACUACUGUUUGACGUUAAGGAGGAGGAUGGAGCCACCACCACCGCCACCAUCACCGCUGGUGAGGACGGCAUCUGCGCCAACCGGCGUAUAUGCAAGCUCAAGUGCCAGCACCAUCACGACCCGGUGAACAGCAACCGGUGCACGACUUCUGCAUAGGGUACCAAGUGGCACUAGAUGCCAUUAUGGAGAAUGGAGCCACCGCCACCGUCACCGCUGGUGAGGACACGUUACGCGGUAGCGGGCGUAUGUGCGAGCUCAAGUGUCAGCACCACCAUAACCCGGUGAACAAGAAGAGGUGCAUCGACUUCUGCAUUCGGUACCAGCUGGCACCGCAUGAUAUCAAUGAUGGAGUCACCGCCACCGAUGCCGGCGGAGCCAUCCGCCAGGUGGUGUGACGCCGGCGCAUGGAUGGACGGCAUGAAUAAGGGCCUAAGUACGUGUCGCUGGAUAUUUACGGACCGCUCGUGUGCGUUUGUCUUUUACGUUGAUGUGUGUGUGAUGUGUGAGAGGCCCUGACCGAAGCUUACAUAUUCGGUUUCACUAGUACUUGUUGU
rnacentral:lncRNA from 1 species